GUUAAUAUCGAUGAUAAUCUUCUUCUCAACAUUUUGAAAUCUCGAUGCAGAUGUUUUUUUUGUUUUUUUGUUUUAGUUCUGCUUCAUUUCAUCAUUUCUAUCUAGGGUUUUUCGUUCUUCUCCGAACCAAUAGUGAGGACUGAUGAGUGACUGAUUACUGUGUAACUAGAGUGUGGGUUUAAGGGUUUGAUACUUUCAUCCGAUGGACAUAUCAAAACCCGAGUCGGGCUUCUAUUAUCCUGGCCUUUUUGAGGCCCAAUAUAUUAAAAGUAUCCAGCCAGGCCACCUAAUCUUGAUCCAACUUAUGCUUCUUUAACAGGUUCCGUUUAAUCGUAGAUGUAUCUCGGAAUUGUUAGGCAUAGAGAAAACGGAAGAACCGAAUCGAAUCCAACCGAACACUUUUGAAGGUGUUUAAGUGUUUAGUUGGUGUUUAAAAUUUUAUAAAACACCUGUUAGGUUAGAGUGGUUGCGGUUUUAGAAAAUUUUCAACAUCUAAACCCGAACCAAUCAUGUUAGUCUUUAGUUUAGCACUUUAGCCCAAGUUAAAAGGUGUUCGGUUCGGUUUUAAUUGGGUUAACCGAAUGCUAGAAAGAAAUCUCUCUGACUCUACGAACUCAACCCGAAUUGUUGUUUCUUCUUCUUCACUUCAAUGUCAGGAUCGAUUUCUCUCUCUUUCUCUCAACUUCCAAGAUUUCUGAUAAGCUCUUUUUCUUUAGAUUUAUUUCCUUAGUUUACAAUUUAAAUUCGAAAAAGGUGUUCAUUGUUUUCUUGCAUUGUUGAUUGCAAUUAGCCUUAAUUACAGAAGAAAGAAAAAUUAUGGCGAGUUCAGAUUAUCAACUUCAUUUAAUUAGGUUAAUGUUAAUCCUAAUCUUAUUUAAUUUGGUUUUGAAAUGUUUUAAAUCAAAGGACAAAGGAUAUGUUGCAUUUUCAGAUAAAAGAAAUUUAAUAACCAACUCCAUUUUCUUAUAGUAUUGUUUGAUGAAAAAAAAAAUAGAUGAACUCGAUAAACCUUUACACUUGUAUGUGUGCAGUGUGCUGGCACAGCUAUAUCUAUGCAGAAGUUUGUCUUUGAUGGGGAGGCUGGGAAGAUUGGGCUUGAAUUGAAGAAUAUAGUUGCUUGAACAUGUUUCCUGGUGGAGCAGAAAUUGGUAUGACUUUACGCAUUUAUUUUACUUAAAAGACAUCAUCAGGCCUAUUGUGUGAUAUGAUAAUGCUAAAUUUUAAGUGUUGAUAUUCGUCAGACUCGGCCGAGUCUCGCUCCCUUCCUACAAUUAUUUUGAAUUGUGGAGAUCAGUGUAGUCUAACAAAACUAGGAAAUUUUGUCAUUUUUCCUAGCAUAUGCACUUCAGUGUGUAAUGGCUUAUCCAGAAUCGUGUUACUGUUAAUUUUUACAUUGUUAUAUACAAGUAUGCCAAAUCGAGAACUUUUUAGUUUUAUGUUGAGUAUUACAAUCUAAACAAAUUCUGUCCUAUCAGUCAUUGUGCUUCAGACACUACUGUUGGGAUUCCGUUGACACGUCACUCCACUUUACUUACCACAUGCUGUCAUUUGACACUAAUCCAUUCUUAAUGUUGUCACACGGCUAUUUAAAUUUUUAUUCUUAUUGUGCUUUUUCCUGAAUCAAAUUAGAAGUCGCAAUAUUUAUAGGAAUCCAAGCAACAUGAGAAAAAGUAUCUUCUCUGUCUAUUCAUGUGUGAAGAAAAUGUCACUUAAUAGAUCGUUCUGUAUUCUGAUCCUAUUGUUUUUUUUUCCAUAUUUGGUGGGAGUAUAUCUGAUCCCCACAUAUCUCAAACCCAUUGUCCCUUCUGAUGAACAUCUCUAUUUAUAAUAAUUUCUUUUCUUGUAAGAGCCUCUGACAUGCCAUAUAUUGGUAUUGUAAACUGGGCAAGUAUUUGCAUAAAUUUGAUAGCCUUUGAAUCUGAUUGAAGUCAAUUGACAUUUAUAUUUAGGUCAACGCUUGGCUUGCGGAUCAAGAUGCAGAAGCUUUAAGGUGUGACAAGUUACUCGUGGAAGAAGAAGAAGCUGCUCAGAGAAGGUAUUUUGUGGUGGAACACUUGCUAUUUGUCUUGUUCAGUGUUAAAAACGGAAAGUGACAUUUAGGGAACAAUCAUUAUUAAGUAAGUGGCACUUACUUAAAACUCUUCUCCUCAGUUAAUUUGACAGUCUGACCACACUUUUCAAUGUUCAUAGUUUAUAGUUUUCGCAAGUUAUCUAAAUGUGAGAAUAUAAUUGAAGUUUAGAUAGUUUAGUUGAUUUUAUGUAUGAUUUACUUUUGAUUUUGGGUUUAUUUGAUUAGUUUUAUAUUUGAUUUGUAGUUUGGGUGAGAGAGAGUGGCAAUGGAGAUUACACAAAUUCUGUUGUUUGUUCAAUCAGCUGAUGCAAAUGUUCAAAUUAAUGCCGAAACGAAUAUUAAGCAGUUCCAGGAUCAAAAUCUACCGCCUUUUCAUUACUCGUUAUCAGUAGAACUAUCAACUGAAGAUAAACCUAUAGAAUCUCGAAGAUUGGCUGGUAUUGUAUUGAAGAAUUCCUUAGAUGGUAAACAUAUAGCUAGGAAGGAACAAUUGAUUCAACAAUGGGUAGGUAUAGAUGCUUCAGCGAAAUCAAACAUUAAAGACUUGUUGUUGAGGACUGUUGGAUUGCAAGAUGAGGUGAAUUCUGUUCAUACUGCCGUAGUUCAAGGGAUCACCCUUGCAGAUCAUGUUGCUGAAGUCCGUCUUGCAGUGACAAAGGCUUUAUAUAAUGCGCUUGACUUUGCACAAACAAAUUUUGACAAUGAGAUGGAGCGCACUUACAUCGUGAAGAUUGUUUGUGAGACAGCAGUUUCAAAAGAGCCAGAGAUUAGACAAGCUGCUUUAGAGUGCCUUGUAUCAAUUUCAUCUACUUACUAUCACGUCCUUCAGCCAUAUAUGCAGACUCUGUUUGAGCUUACAUCAAGGGCAGUUAGAGGGACCAGGACCUGUUGCACUUCCAGAGAUUGAGUUUUGGAGUUCCAUAUGGGAUGAUGAGAUUGAGCUUCAAGAGUAUGAUGGAGAGAAUGACGAUUCUGCGUCUUCCCAUCCUUGCUUCAUUGAGAAGGCUUUGUCGUCAUUGGUUCUUAUGUUGCUAGAGACUUUAUUGAAGCAGGAAGAGGAUCAGGAUGAUGAUGUUUGGAAUCUGUCUAUGGCUGGUGGCACUUGCCUAGGCCUGGUUGCAAAGACCGUUGGUGAUGCUAUAGUGCCUCUUGUUAUGCCUUUUGUGGAGGUAAAUAUAACCGAGGCAGGUUGGGGUUGUCGUGAGGCAGCUACAAAUGCAUUUGGCUCUAUUCUAGAUGGUCCUCCUAUUGAAACGCUAUCCCCUUCAGGCAAAGCAGGGCUACAGUUUCUGCUUAAUGCAAUGACGGAUGCAAACAGCCACGUGAAGGAUACAAAACAUGGGCUCGAGUCGGAUUUUUGAGAUUUGGCAUUCUCCUGCUAGUGGAUUUUCUGUGAUUUUUCCUUCACACCUUAAACCUGCCAUGGAUGUCUCGUUGGCAAGCAUAAAGGAUGCUCCAAUUGUGGCUGAGAAAGUUUGUGGAGCAAUCUACUACCUUGCUCAAGGAUAUGAGGAUGCAGGGUCUAAUUCUAAUUCCUCCAUUUUGUCCCCAUACCUUCAUGAUACAAUCAAUAACUGCCUUCUUUGCUACCGCAGAGCGAACUGAUGCAUAUGAUCCUAGGCUUGGGGCUGCAGCCUAUGAGACUCUUAAUGAAGGGUUAGAUGCGCCAAUAUUGUGGAGAGUCUCACACCAUUGUUGAGGGAAAGGCUUAUAGAAUGUGGUGGAAGGAUCAAAUGAAUGCUCUGUGCAGGUUUCUUUCUCUCAGCUCCUAUCAUUCACCAUUGCUUUUUACUCAUCCUUAAUGGAAUUUUAGUAGAAUUUAAAUGUUUUCAACUUAAGUGGUACUUCAUAGAGAAGGUUUUCGUAGUUGCAUUUGUUAAAGGAACUACGCUAUGUUAUUCUCGUCAUUCAUAGAGAAGGUUUUCGUAGGAUGCAGACUCUUAAUGAACCGUUAUAUACUUGUUGAAUGAAAUAAUCGGGGUAUGAAAGGUCAGUCCAAGCAAGCUCUUAGAUUUUGGAGAUUCACUUCCUUUCGUAUAUAACGAAUAUGAGUAGGUUAGAAAUAGUCUGGCACAACUUAUUGCAUGUUUAACUUUGGCAGUCUGUAAUUGAUGGGAACUGUUUCCGCAAAAUAAGCUUUAAAGGAUUGUACUAUCCAUGUGUAAUUUGAAUUGAAAGUGCAUCUACCAGGAACAUUUUCCAACCAAUAAAUAGACUUAAUUUGGAAAGUGUCUUUAAGAGUAGUUGGAUCCGGACCCUCAACAUAUAAAGCUUUUGGAAUUGUAACUCUAACCAAAGGAGAGAGUAUUGUAUUGGUUUCUCUAAGUAAAGUUUAAUGUGCCAGUUUACUUUCCUUGAGGGUAAUUGGAGCUGUAGUCUUAUUUAUUUAUUUUUAUUUUUUACUGCAAAAAUAGCUUAGAAUGACAUAUAUAUAUGCCAACUUUUUUGGUUAUCCAGAAUAUUGGCAGUUCACUAUUUGUCCUGUUCAGUCACAAGCUCUCUAAGGCAUGGCUUUCAUUCUUGAUAUUAUGAAGAGAAUAUGAAGCAUUUAUGGUCUAAGGAAUGCUUAUAUACAUCAACCAUUUACGUUAGUUUGAAUUCAAUUUGGUGUUUAUGCUACACCCUAUAGUUUAAUUGAUUUGUGAAAAUAAAUUUAAGUUAGUUUGAAUUAAUUUAUUUUUGAUGCUCACACUCUACAGAGAGUUUGUAUUAAUGUAAUUGAUUUUGGGUAAUAGCUAUGAGCAUCCAUUAACGUUCUGAGUACAUUCUCAAGAACAAACUAUAGAUAGCUCUUCCCAUACCUUUUCUUUUUACUCUAUUCGAUUAGAAGUUGUGAUUAUCUUACUUAAGCUAAAUUUUUUGAACAUGAUUGUCAUAAGUUAUUAGAACGCCAAGUCUCCAAUCAUUUUGAGACAAUUUAUUGUACUUUAGGCUAUAGUGUUAUCUAACUAAAUAUACUUUCAAAUCUAUCUUUUAUUAAUUUUCAUUUUAUUUUAUUCUUAUUAUGCAUCAAUUUAAUAGGUACGGGCAGCUAUUAAGGUGAAGGUAUAUGUGAUUAAUAUGUUCACUUCAUCUGGAAGAGCUGCACGAUAAUGUAUUGUUGCGAGUGUAUGGUUUUAUAUUAAAUUUGGGUAAUUUUACAUGCAGUAAUGCUUCCUUUGAAUGCCCAUCUUUCAUCUGUGGAUCUCUGAUUUUUUUUUUCUUUGGUGUAUACAGAUUGAUUGCUGAGUACAGGCCGACUAUGAUCAUUCCCCCUUAAUCCCAGGCAAAGCAAUCACAUUAGUUAGAGGUCUUUCUUCCAUGCUGGCAGAUCCUCGCCAUCCUGUAAGUUCUUAUUUUACACUUGUUGUUUUGCCUCUUAGUCUAUUUCAAGUAGUGAAUGGCUGUUUCAAGUUUGCAAUUCGUUUACUUAAUAGGAGAGCUUAUAAAAUCCUAAUGUCACCAACACAAAAUUUGCAUUCAGCCGUGGCUUACCUACUGAUUUACAGGUUUGAGUCAACGAGCAUUCUGAAGGUAGCCCUUGGUCAGGGCAAGGUAUCAUGUUUAAUAAAGUCACCCGAUCAUGUCGUCAUUGCCAAAAAGUAGGUGAUGCAUCGGUUUUGAAGAUCAUUGAGCUUGAGGAGUGAGGACUGAAAGCAAUAUGCACCCUUUCUUUUUGUUGUUUAUUUCUACUAUUUCAUUUUUACUCGGAGUUGGCAGUGGUUUAAUUAUUAACUUGCAAGGUUGUGGACAUGAGCUGGUGGAUUAAUAUAUGUAUUAAAGAGUGUACACUAUUACGAGCCAUGUCUUGGAUAUUUACUUAUUGAAGCUGUGAUGGCACCAGGCUUUUUUGUUAUGUCAGAAUGAUAUAAACUAAUUGACUUUUUAUUACAAGUGCGGUUAUGCUGAAGUGUUCUAUCUGUAAUGUUAUUUGGAUGUUUUUAAUAUCUGUAAUUGAGUUUGGCCCUGAGACCAUGUGUUUUCAGUCUGAAACAUUUUUGCAUAAUUUACUGCUACAAGGCAAAUAGAGAUGAUCAAUAUCCAUUAUUUUCAAACCAAUAUAUGUAGCUUUAUAUGACCCAGGAAAAAAAAAAUGUAGCUUUAUACAACAAAAACAUCCUUACAAACCAUAGACAUAACUGGACAUGAAUAGUACAUACUAAAACAUAACCUAGCUAGCCUCUAAACACUGAGAGAGUCUUGCAUCUAUCUGAUGAUGCAGUAAGAAUCUUUGAGUUAUAAGGAUCCUCUGCGACAACAACGUCACAUGCAAUCCUCAGCGUGUGAUUAAAGUAUCCAUACAAUAUAGCAUGUACCCUAUAAGAAAUUACCAACAAGACACGUGCAGCUAAAGACGUAGAAGGUCCCCACGUGUAAAUCAAAGUAAAGUCGGCAUCCACAUGAUCCCGAGCUCUAGGGUGCUGAGUGAAUCCUAGUCUCCCGUGAUGAGCUAUUGCCCUUCCAUUGUAGAUCAGAGUAGUGAGCAGAUAGUCAUACUGGAUGGAUACACGGCCGUUGUUGUUGGUCAAAGAGAAAGAAGCAGAGAUAUUGGAAGUUGGGCCAAAUGGAUCUGAUCUGGAUCCAUUGACUUUGAUCCAGUCCAAUUGGACCCUUGGCUUAAGGGUCGAUCGAGUUCGAUAAUACAACAGACGAGCACAAAUGUGAGUAGAGAACUCCCCCAAAACUGCCAACGAUAUCUGCGAAACACAGAUUCAUUUGCAGGGGUGGGGUUGGUGGUGGUGGUGGUGGUGGUGGUGGUGGUGGUGGAGGAUUCUAGAUCCAUAGGAUUCGAGAGAGAGAGUAGUUUGAUCGAGAAAAGAGAGAGAGAAUGAACGAUGAGUUGGCUUAUUGGAUUUGUGGAAUACGGUUCUGUUAUGUGGUAGUAAAACUAAACACUCCCUUUUGUUUUGUUUGUUUGUUUGUAAUUUAGGGCCUGUUUGAUUGCGGAGUGGGAAAAUAUGAGAGUGAGAAUGACUUAAAGAUAGUUUUCCCACUUAAGUGGGAAUGACUUAAAAUAUUUUCUCACUUAAGUAAGAAAAUGUUUUAAGUCAUUCUCACUUUGCACAAAUAUGGUGUUUGAUUGAUAGUGGGAAUUCUAAUUAUUUUCUCACUAUUUUCUCACUUGUUUUGUUUGAUUGCAAUGAGAAAAUUAUUGAAUUCCAACUGUUUUAAGUUAAAUUCCCACUUGUUUUGUUUGAUUGCAAUGAGAAAUCUAAUCCUUACUAUUGAGAAAAUAUGUUGAAGCCCAUGAACCUUAUUAUGUAGCAUUGAGUCCAUAGAAGCCCAUGAACCUUAUUUGGGCAUGGCAUCCUAUAUCCACAGGAGUAAAAUAGGUCCGACAAAAGCCCAUUAUGUAGCAUUGGGUCCAUGGAAGCCCAUGAAUUUUUUUUUUUUAUUUUCAUAUAUCCACAAGAUAGUAAAAUAGGUCUGAUAACAAGUAAAUAGUUUUGGCAUUUUUAUAAAAUAAAUCAAACAAUAUUUCAACAAAGCACCCAUUGUAUGGUUCAACAAAAAAAUACCAUGGCUUCAACAAAAUAAGUCCAACAAUAUUUCAACUUAACAUAAAAAUACAAUAUUUAAACAACAUAGGUUUUACAAUACUAAAUAACUCCAACAAUAGCAUUAAACCAAAACAAAAGUACAAAAUAUUUUUGAAAUACUAAUCUGACCACUAACAAAAGUACAACUACUCAUCAGUUUCGCUCUCAUCUAGAUAUUCAUCAAUGUUCGCAAGAGUACUAUGACCAGAGCUACCACAACCAGCAGGGUAAGUCCUUCUUGCAGACGGUUUUGUAGCACAAACUAGAUCUGUUACAUUUGGGUCAAUGUGCCUAAUCUGCACAAUAAACGUGAGGACAUUGUUCACCCUGUUAUGAAACUCAAACCUUAUACUAUCUCCUUUAGCUAAAUGUGUAGCCUUCACAAAUGCCUUCCACCCAGAGUGACGAAAAUAUAAAGAGUCGCUCUUAUCAUCCACUAAUUCCACCUCAUAUCUUUCCUGUCGAGCGACCCAUAGGAUAACAGAAACAGUGCCCUCAACUAGUACCUUGAUAUUAGCAGGAACUUUCUGCUAUUAUAAAUAAACAUGUGUUAGAAAUAAUUGAAAAUAUACUACAAUAUAUUUAUUUAAGAAAAUUCAUACAUGAAGUAAAUAACAUUUGUACUGACCAUAAUACACCCUUUGGUGACGUGACCCUUGGACACAUCCUUUGUCCAGGUAAGCCUCAUGUGAUUGUAUGGGCAGAUAUCCAUUUUUUGACCUAUUUAUAUUUAAAUAACAUAUAUAAGUACAAUAAAUAGUUCAAAUAUCUCCAUGCAACAAUCAUUAAAUCCAAUUGAAUGCAUAAUAGUUCAAAGAUUACAAUAAUUUGAGCUCCAUCAAAAUAACACAAAAGACUACAUAAAACAAUAAUUCAUCCAAUAUUACACAAUCCAUAAAUCUAACAUAAAACAUUCCAAUUUGAGUUUGGAUUACUCUGAACAGAUUGACAUCAUAGCAUAGGUGGUGGCAUUGGAGCGAAUAGGUGGAUGCACAUGGUGUGUGCCGGAAAAGUCUUAUUUUUCAGACCAAUCCAAUGGAUAUGAUUUGGUGGUUGUAAUAGCUCAGCCCAUGCUUCCUCACUGGCAUUGAUUUUGCAUUCUAGAAGAUCAAAUACAAAUCCAGGCCUCAAACAUAAUUCUUCUAUUUUUUUUGUGGUCUUCUUCAAAGUCUUCAUACGACCCCUAACUUGUUCAGUUGUUACUUCAAUUCGUAGGUAUUUAUUUAUCUCAUCUGCAGCUUCAGAGUGUGCACUCUUAUUAAAUCUUCCAUCCGAACUACGGCCCCCAUUUAUGGUAAUCUCUAAUAAUUUAGCACACAUAUUCAUAUCCAUUGCGGUGGUCCACCUAAUGGACCUAUGAGAGGCUGACCAAGGUAUAUCCAUACCAAAACUGUUUCAUACCAAGAUAAAUAUUAAACAUACAAUAAGCCUAAUUAGUUGUUCCACAAGUUUACACAAAGUUUAUACAAUACAUGAAACUAAUCGAUAUCACGACUACAACAAUCACAAUCAUUAGCAUAAUCCCAGAUACAAGGAUCACCCAAGCAAUGCAAACACAUUGUAUCUUCAGGUGGCUCCACAUGGUGUAACCACCAAUUUGAGCAAUCUCCAUAACAAGGGUAUUGAAGGCAUUUCACGCAAAUCAACUCGUUAUCGCUAGAAGUAGGAGGGUUAACAAAUGGAUGAAGAAAUCUGAUUCCAGGACACGAUUGAAAUGAACACUUUGCAAAAGAUAUCCAUUUGUUACUUGUAUUCCCCAUUCCAGUGUGGAGUUUUAACAUACCAACACAAUUAGGUUGGUCACACAACAUGAAUGGUUCUAGGAUUGGCAAACAUGAAUUGAAUUCAAAUUUGGACCAUUUGUUAGUUUCAUAUAACUUAAUAGCUUCUCGCUUUCGUUCAUCGUCAUCUGAAAUAAUCGUGCGAUGGACCCGAAUGAAAUCCACCAAACCAAGCAAAACCUCAAUAUCCUCCCAAAUUGCUUUGAACCUAUCGGACAGAGCCAAUAACCCUCUUCCUGUUUUAUUCUCAUCCAUGCGAUGAAAAUUAUCGGAAACACAGGUCCAAAAGUCAUGGUCAUUAACGUUUAUUGGAGGAGAAGUAUGGACUAAACCCCACGCAGUACACAAAUUUUCAUCUUCUUUUGAUGUCCAAGCCAUUUCUGAAGUUCGUGUAAUAUAUAAUUAGAAUCAUACAGAUAUCACUUCCAUUAAUACAUAAAUAGUACAAAUUACAUAGAAAAUUCAUACAUAAUUCAACAAGUCGUCAUCUAGAUACUUAGGAUUAAAACAAAAACAAUCACCACACAAUUAUUGCUUUGAUAACCAAAGCAAUCAACAACACCAAAAGAACAACCACCAAUGACUUAAUGCAACAAAGAUCUUCCCUAUGGCUUUCCCCAUUGAUCAAUACGUGGGACUUGAUCGAAGGGGUGGGGGACAGGGCCCUUCCUACAACCAAGGCACUGACAUUGUUAACCCUAGGCAUAGAAACCCUUAGAAUUCGUUCAGCUUCCUCGAUCGAUUCACAGCCUUGGUAAAGUGCGUUAUUAUAACCUAGUACUUGUGUCGCACAUUCACGCCAGUUUGUGUAAAUCCCAGGAAUACGACCUCUGAUGACAACAUAACAUGGAAAUCGUGCCAUCUCUGUAAUAUUUCACCCAAAUAUAGACAAAUCAGACCCUAGACACGACUAAGUUCAGACAUGUUAUACUCAUUCAUGACAGCAUGAUGAAUACCAUCGAACCAUAAAGCUUUACAACCACAAAGAAACAUUCCAUAAAGAGAUGUCCAAAAUCACUCACACACACCUGCCUUAUCAGUUCUAAACAUUGAUACAUAACAUGCAUACCCAUUUGAAUCAAUACACAUAUUAAUAAAGUACUUAAGUUUAUAUAGAUCAUAUAUAAUAAGCUGGUAGUUUAAGUCAAUCAUAGUGUGUAAAGGACUCCACAUAAUCAAGCAGUCAUAAUCUGUAUCAAACUACAUAAUACAUAACAUAACAAGUAGGCUUAGUACAACAGAUAAAGACUCCACACACUCAACGACACAGCCUAGUCAAGAACAUUGUCAGUCAUAGCGUGUAAAGGAAAGUUUCCUGUGCAGCCAUCCAACUCUAGCCACUUCAGACAACCCAAAGAAAACCCCAGCAGCUUCCUUAGAGUUAGAAAACAUCUCCAUGGCAGCAUAGAUGUCCUCCUCAGACAAGUCAGGUAUAACUCUCAAAGCCGCAUCUAGCUUCAUAUAGUCAGGAGACCUAAAUGAACUGGCUAUGUCUUUGGCAGCUUCAGCCAACAACUUGAAUGACUCCUUGAUCUCAGCAUCUUCACUAUUACUAGCAAACCUUGACUUGGUACGCCUACUAUGAGGACCAGCACUUGUCGCCCUCCUAUUACGCCCAUUCCUCGCUCCCGAUGCAGCUGAAGUACCAGAGUCUUCUGCUUGGACACGCCCACCAGCUCCAUCAACUCCACUAAAGGUGUCUCCACCAAUAGGAUUGAGCGUAGGUUCAUCCUCCUCUAAUGUUGAAUCAAUCUCAUCUACAAUUUGGAAACUAUAUAUUAGUUACCAAACAUAUGAGUGUUGAAUAAACAUUUUAAAGGAUAAAAAAAUAAAAAUAAACUAACCAAUCAGAUUGGCAUCACCUUGGCAAGGUGACUGGUUCAGAUCCUCCAUGUAGUCAUCAAGUUCAAUGUCAUCACCAGGUUCAAAGUGGAGUCCCCCAGUGGCAACAUCUUUGCCAAAAAUGAUUACCAUCUCUUCAUAAUGGGGCAACAUCUUGUUGCGCAGAUAUGAUGCCUUGGGAUAAUCCUAAACACGGUGAUAACCCAAUAAAUAGUUUGGUCUUAUAGAAUGGACCACACAGAUGGCAAACUUAUUAAAAUGGCUAGGACUAGAAAAGGAUUGAAAGAAAGUACCCGCAAAUAAUCACUCCAAGCAGUUUCAUCACCUUCAAUGAGAUUAGUCUCAUUGUUAAAGGUAAAACCUGACAAAUCCAAAGCUUCCUUAGCAGCACCAUACUCUUUUUUCAUGGUUUUCAGCCUGCCGCGCACAUUUUUAGCCAUCAAAGCAUACCCACAAUGGGCAACCACAGCGUCCACAACAUGUUUGAUAGCCUCAGGCUUCCAACCAUUAUCAGACCUUCUAUUACCAGACAAAGCUUCAUCAUAAAGUACCCUAAUCAAGAUGGAAUCCAUCUCUUCAGUCCACCUAAUUUGUUUCCAACCCUGGGGGUGCGCCAUUCCUAUAAUAUGCAUGGUAUAAAAUACCAAAGAAAUGAACAACAAUGCCUACGAUGAUAACAAUGCAUUCACACAAACCAUACAAAAUUGGCAAGCAUUGAUGACAUUUUGACAAGUAACUGUGGAUUUUAAAUUGGAACAAUCAUUCAAAUCAUAGUAAAAACAUCUGAGUUUAAUACCACAUAAGGCUUUAAUAAGCAAGUAAACAAUUCUCAACUGCCAAUACAUAAUACAAAGUGAAAACAGUUUUCUUUUUAAAUAACACACAUAGAAAAAGGUGGCAACUAAUUGCCAUCCUCAAGCCACAUGAGUGCAGCCAAGUCAUCUCUGACAGCAGUCCACUGAUUAGUGGGGGCCAUCACAAGAUGCUCAUAAUUAGGCACAUUACCCUCUCCUGGUUCACCAUCUUCAUCAUCCGAAUCAGGUCCCAAAUCUAUGUUAUCAACCUCCAUAUCAUCAUCAGGGUCAUCAAGGCGUAACCAAUUAUGCAAAGCAACACAUGCAUAUAUAAUCUUUGUGUGAGUUCGAACAUCAUGAAAUGGUGCAUGCCGAAGAUAGGCGAACCGUUUCUUCAAUACACCAAUUAUCCGCUCGACAACAUUGCGUAGUGAUGAAUGACGGAAGUUAUAUAAUUCUUUUCUAGUUUGAGGGGUAUAGUUUUCUUGUUCACGUCUAUGGUAUCGAGUUCUUCGGUAUCGAGUCAUGAAACCGGGCACAUGUCCGUAUCCAGCAUCAGCCAAAUAAUAUUUUCCUAUACAAAUACUUCUACAUUAGGCCCACUUUUAAAUAUAUGUACGAAAAAUUAUAAUAAUGAGCCUAAGGUAUUGUACCCUGUGGUAUGGUCAAACGACGGCCUCCGCGGCUCACAGCACAUCUUAGAACUCUACCGUCAUGUGCAGACCCUUCCCAACCGGCUAAAACAUACAUGAACCGCAAGUCGAAUGUGCAAGCUACCAAGACAUUUUGGGUAAUUAAUUUUUUUCUAUUACGAUAUCUACCUUGGUCUGACGAAGGAACAUUAGUCUCAAAGUGGGUUCCAUCGAUUGCGCCAAUGGCAUCCUAAGUUCAAAAAACAAAAAAAAAACAAAAAACAUAUUUUAUCACAAUUUAACAUCUCUAUUAAUAUGUGGAAAUAGCUAGGUCAGGAUAUUAACCUUAAAGUAAUGUUCAUAAUUUCGUUCAUAUUGGGAUUCAUGAGGACCAUUGUGUUCUGUAGGGGGGACCACAACUUCUCCGUAUAGACUAAGUAAGGCUUUCAAAACUCUGUGAAAGUAGAAGCUGACCGUUUGCCCCGACCUAUGAACUUUAUGCAAAACACCUCGAUUGCGCCAAUCAUGUCCAACAGUUAAUAGGAAGUAUGCAACUUGCUCCUUGACUGACACAUAUUUAUUAUCUUGAAGACCAUGAAGGCGCAAUCGAUCACAUAAAUGACCAAAUGGAGCUAUGCGCAUUCUAAGUUGGGCAUGGCAUGCUGUAUCUGUAUCACCAUACAACUUAUGCAGUACUUCAGUCCGUAAGGCAUCAUUAUUAGUAUAAGGAGCCCUAGGAAGUCUCAUUGCUCUCCUCACUCUCAUCCAACGAUACAUCAUGACCCAUUGGAUUAUAAUCAUGAAAAAAUUGGCCGCGGCUAACUUACGCUCUUCUUCUGUCCACAUACUCUACACAUACAAAGCAAUGUAUCUUCUAAAAUAUUAACUAAAGUUACAAAUAGAUAAACAGUCAACAAAUGUAUAACUAAAAUUAAUCAUAUAUUAUAGAGAUUUAUAUACUUUAAGAUGAAACUGUUACACUAGAAACCACUACUAGUACUGAUGAUAAUAUGAUAUUGUGACGCCCGCAUUUUCUGUUUCAUUUUUAUUUAUAAUAUCUUAUUGAGUUUGAUUUCACUUUUCGCAGGAAGCCAUACAUAACAGAGAUAUAGCUCAGAAGGCAGCCCUACCAGCACUUUAGAGAUGCUUCUGCAACAGAAACUCUAGUUCGAACUCUAAAGUAUGGUGACUUGCAUUUUAAAUUGCAGAGAAUUUUGCUUAAUGAUAUAUUAAUAAGGUUAUUAUGACUCGUCGCAUUCUAAAUAAAAUGUAUUACUGCAGGAUAUUUUCAGACUUGAGCAAAUCUGCAAAUGCAGAUGCUCCAGCUGCUUGUUUUGAUAAGUUUUUAGAUUUCCAUAGCCAGAUUGUCCAAGCAGUAAGUGAUAUGGAAUCUAUACAAGCCGCUACUGCAAGUAAUGACAUAACUCACACACCAAUUGCAAAACAGAAAGAACCAUUGAAGAAAGAAGUUGAAGAUGAAUCUCACAUCUUACAUGAACAUGUGGAUAACUCGAUGGACCAAAACCAACAGUCAGAGUUCAAUGCUUCCAAAAAAAGGUCCACGCCAUACAAGUCGGUUUCAGCUGCCAUGAAAUGAAAGAAAUGAUUUGAAGACAAACUUUGGGAGGAACUUAAGAUCUACUAUGACUCAGAAAGCAUCUGACAGAAAAGGAGCAUUAACUCCAGCAGGGAAAUUAGAAUGGUUUAUAAAAGGGUGGAACCGACAAGUUGCGACUCUUCAAGGAGGCCUGAAGCAAUAGUUAAAAGAGAACCCAAAAUUGUUUCAGGUUGCAAACUUUACAGUUACACCAUAAAGUUCUCAAGGCACAUUUGAAUGAGCAGAUUAAUCUUGAGGCGUUAUAACUUAUAACUCCAUACCUGACAACAGAAACUCAUUCUUCUAAACAAAAGUCCGGCCUUCAAGAGAUAUCUAAUCUCAUAUCUGAUAUGUUUCAGAUGUGCAUAUGCAGUACAGGAGCAUUUCUCUGAAUGCAGUUCCACAAUUAAAUUUUGGCGUGCUGAACCUUUUGGAAAGCCAGGGACUGCAAGAGUCUAGUUCAAUCAAAACAACAUUCAAGAGUAUGAAUCCAUUGAACUAAAAACAAAAUAUAUGACUAUAUGAGAAUAACAACAGUAUUACAUGACAAGAGUUGUACUUGGGACCAUUGAAGAGUCGCAACUUGUCGAUUCCAUCAUUACUUGAUGAUUAAAAUCAGAACAUUAAUCCCAAAACACAUUGAGUGCUUGUAACUGAAUAUAACACAUUUUGUGUGCUUGGGUAGUUGGACUUUGCAAGAAUGACUGCACUAGCACUGAAGGAGAUGAUCAACUGACUAACGAGCAACUGAAGCAUUCAGAAGGAGAUGAUCGGGCGACUUACGAGAAACUGAAGCAUUCAGAAGGAUGAAGAAUUAAGUAAAAAUUACUGAAGUAAUUGGGAUGGAACUCAAUAGUCAACAGACCUGAAGGGAUCUUUUCUGGGUUUCACCUCAUACUUUAUUAAGAUUUUUCCAGCAAAAAAAAACAAAAAAACCCUCAUACUUUAUUAAGAUUUCGGACAAUGUUUCUUAGAGCAUGUUUAUCUACAGCUUCAAACAUCAUCUCAGGUUUUUAUUCAAUGUUAAGAAUAUGCACCUGAAAACCCUAUGACGGAUUCAUUACAAAAGGGCCUUGUUUUAGCAGUUUUCUCACACCAAUCUAGUGCCAAUACAUGCAAAGUGUAUUGAAAUUUGAUUUAAAGGGAGCUUUUAAGGAAUCAGUGAAAAUUCAUAAUAAAAAGAAAAGAUUGUGGCAGACUACAAAAAGCAUUAACAAUAACAAUUUUACGAAAUAAGCAUAAAGUACAUUUAAUUGUUUCGAAAUUUGGGCGUGACAGAUAUCCAAACCAUAUAUUGUACACAAAGAUUCUACAUAAGAAUUUUCGAUUUACACCAAGGCAUGACACACAACAUACAACUAGGCAGCACAAUAGAUGGUGCCAAUAGAUAAACAGUUCAACAAAUGUAUAACUAAAAUUAAUCAUAUAUAGAUUAUAAACUAAUUCCAUGUAAACUAGUAUCAAACGAGUAAAUAUAUGUAAACAAAUAUAAACUAGUGUAAACCAGUAUGUAAUCAAAGCAUAUAAUCAUGUAAACAAAUAUCUUGUCACUAAUUAAUCAAUUUAAUCCAAACAUCAUAGGCAUAUUAAGCAUUACAAAAUAAAUUUGGCUUAAAUAUCCAUACCGAGCAGCUGCAGAAUCAAAGAUGAGAGACCUCCUAAAUCCAAUGUAACCGAUGUAACCCAAAGUCCAAUGAACUAGUUACAGUAAUUCCAACCAAUUUGUAGACAUGAUCGAAAAGCAAAAACCAAUAGUUAGAUUUGCGCACUAAACAACAUAGAUUUGUAAAACUGUUUUGGUAUAGAUACAACAUAGAUCAUAGGCAUCUUUUGAUUCUUUAACCCUGUUUUGGUAUAGAUACAACUGUUAGAGUUGGUUUGUUUCGGUCUGUAAAACUCCAUAACCAUGGCAAUUUACACAAUAAUUGAUGAAAUUGGGAAAGAUAAAAAUCAAAAAAUCUGUUUUGAAUAACGAAAUCUGUUUUGAACUAACGAAAUCUGUUUUGAAUAACGAAAUCUGUUUUGAACUAACGAAAUAUAUUCACAAUCCAUACAACACCAAAGAUGAACUUGUUUUGAAUAACGAAAUCUGUUUUUGAACUAACGAAGAAGAUGAAGAUGAAGUAAAUCGGAACAAUCGCGAGAUGCAAUAAAAAAGAAGAAGUAGUAACUCCAAUUAUUAGCACCAAAAUUCCAAUUUCUAAUUAAUCGUCUUCUUCUAUUCUAGCAUGAAGUUGAGAGACAGAGAGAGAGUUCUAUUUAGAAAUUACAACAUAGAUUUGUAAAGUCUACAAUUACGAUUACGGUUUGCAAUGCACAGAAAUUACUGUUUUACAGUUCUCGAUCUAUACAGAUCUACACAUAUCUGAUCUAUACAGAUCUGAUCUAUACAGAUCUAUACAGAUCUAGUUCGAAAGAACAACAUAGAUUUGUAAAACUACAUAGAUUAGAUCGAAAAAAACAAAUUAAAAAUACUUCUCAAAAUUUACAGAUUAGAGAUUUACCUCACAAAAUUUACUCGAUUUACAGCACUGAUAAUCUGUUGCCUCUACUUCUCAAGAAUCUGUUGUUCAUAGAAUGAGAAAGGAAGUAUAUAUGUAAUAAAAUGGAUGGUCAGAUGUUGUGAUAAUUAUAUCCAACGGUGGACAGAAGGAGGAAAUUACCCUUCCUCUUUUCUCACCCUAGUGGGAAAAUAAGCCUCUUUUCUCACUAGUUUGGAAUUCUAGGGGGGGGGGGGGUAAGAAAAUGUUUUCCCACUGUAUAGAGAAAAUUAGCUAUACGGUGAGAAAAUACGAUUUUCUUUUCUCAUUGCUAAAGUUAACAACCAAACAGCUAAAACCUGCCCCUUUUCCACUGGUCCACUGAGAAAACACAUAAGUUUUCUCAUUACAUUGGGAAAAUGAUUGCAAUCAAACACACCCUUAGAAAUUUCAUUAAAGAGAAAAGAGGUUUUGUUUGUUUGUUUGUAAUUUAGAAAUUUCAUUAAAGAGAAAAGAGGUUUUGUUUGUUUGUUUGUAAUUUAGAAAUUUCAUUAAAAAGAAAAGAGGGAUAAACACUCUUAGAGCAUUCCCAACGGUAGGUUUUAAAAUACUUUUAGACACUUUUAGUAAAAAACUCUUGCCAAUGACUUAAAAGUGCCACGGAGGAUCUUUUAGCUAGUUAAACAUUAAAUUUACCCAUAAUGUACAUACCUGCAAAACUUGUAAAACAAAAACUUACACAUAUUUACAUAAUUUUACUAAUUUUGGCUGUGCUUGUUUCGCUGCAAAUUAUAUGGAAACAGUUGGGGGAAACAAGACACGUCAGAUUUCCAAAAAGUUUGUAUGAUUGCUGCUGCUUGGUGAUGUUAAAUACAAAUGGUCCCCACAGGAAUUUUUUGUUAAAAUGAUAAACCAGCUCAGCAUUUCUUACGGUUUUAUAAAUCCAGGAUAUAAAAGGAAACAGUUGGUGGCUUUCUUUCUCUCUCCUCCUUCUCUCCUUCUUCUCUCUUUCUCUCUCCUAUCUGAAUUUGUGGUCCCCCCUUUUCUUUUCUCUCCACAUCUUUUCCACUUCUAUCUAAANNNNNNNNNNNNNNNNNNNNNNNNNNNNNNNNNNNNNNNNNNNNNNNNNNNNNNNNNNNNNNNNNNNNNNNNNNNNNNNNNNNNNNNNNNNNNNNNNNNNUUAGGCUUGACUGUCUGCCUAAUGUUGCAAAGGCUGCAAAGAAGGGAAGAGAGAGACAGUUCAAUGGUCUAGUUGAUGUCUAUAGAAAGACAUUUCAAUCUGAUGGUAUGCUUUACUGUGGGUUCAACAUUUCGUGUGUGGGAAUUAUUGUUUAUCAAGGUUAUACUUUGGAAUGCAUGAUUCUUUGAAGCUAGUUCUUCUGACCGGGGAUUUAGCGGGUAGUUUCUUUGCUAGUUUUGCCCUGGGUUGGUUAGACAAUUGUGCUUGAGCUGCAUCCUAUCCUAUUGUCACUGUCAGAAGAAUGAUGAUGACCUCAGGUGAAGCUGUCAAGUACUAGAGCUCACUUGUUGCAUUCUCACAUAUCUUGAAGAAUGAGGGAGCCAAGUUCCUGUUCAAGGAUGCAGGUGUGAACAUUCUUCGUGCUGUUGCUGGUGUGCUUGCUGGUUAUGAUAAGCUGCAGUUAAUUGUCUUCGGAAAGAAAUAUGGAUCCGGUGGAGACUAACUAUCUCGAAGGUUCUUCUAUUCAGUCCCAGCAUACAUGGUGAGGAGCUUGAGCUUCAAGAGUAUGAUGGAGAGAAUGACGAUUCUGUGUCUUCCCAUCCUUGCUUCAUUGAGAAGGCUUUGUCGUCAAUGGUUCUUUUGUUGCUAGAGACUUUAUUGAAGCAGGAAGAGGAUCCGAAUGAUGAUGUUUGGAAUCUAUAUCUAUGGCUGUUGGCACUUGCCUAGGCCUGGUUGCGAAGACCGUUGGUGAUGCUAUAGUGCCUCUUGUUAUGCCUUUUGUGGAGGCAAAUAUAACCGAGCCAGGUUGGGGUUGUCGUGAGGCAGCUACAUAUGCAUUUGGCUCUAUUCUAGAUGGUCCUUCUAUUGAAACGCUACCCCCUUCAGUCAAAGCAGGGCUAGAGUUUCUGCCUAAUGCGAUGACGGAUGCAAACAGCCACGUGAAGGAUACAACAGCAUUGACUCGGGUCGGAUUUUUGGGAUUCGGCAUUCUCCUGCUAGUGGAUUUUCUGUGAUUUUUCCUUCACAUUUUAAACCUGUCAUGGAUGUCUUGUUGGCAAGCAUAAAGGAGGCUCCAAAUGUGGCUGAGAAAGUUUGUGAAGCAAUCUACUACCUUGCUCAAGGAUAUGAGGAUACAGGGUCUAAUUCCUCCAUUUUGUCCCCAUACCUUCAUGAUACAAUCAAUAACUGCCUUCUUUUUUUUGAUGCAUAUGAUCCUAGGCUUGGGUUUUCCAACAGCUAGGCCAUCCAAGGGGCGGGAUUACAGCCCCGCUAACUUCACUCUUAUGAUGGUUCACUUGCUUACACUGGCUACUAGUUGAGCUGCUACGGAAGCAGCCUAUGAGACUCUUAAUGAAGGGUUAGAUGCGCCAAUAUUGUGGAGACGUCUGACACCAUUGCUGAGGGAAAGGCUUAUUUGGAAGGAUGAAAUGAAUGCUCUGUGCAGGUUUCUUUCUCUCAGCUCCUAUCAUUCACCAUUGCUUUUUACUCAUCCUUAAUGGAAUUUUAGUAGAAUUUAAAUGUUUUCAACUUAAGUGGUACUUCAAAUUACAGUAAAGAAUUCAUAGAGAAGGUUUUCGUAGUUGCAUUUGUUAAAUGAACUACGCUAUGUUAUUCUCGUCAUUCAUAGAAAAGAUUUUCGUAGGAUGCGGACUCUUAAUGAAGUGUUAUAUACUUGUUGAAUGAAAUAAUUGGGGUAUGAAGCUCUUAGAUUUUGGAGAUUCACUUCCUUUCGUAUAUAACAAAUAUGAGUAGGUUAGAAGUAGUCUGGCACAACUUAUUUCUUGUUUAACUUUGGCAGUCUGUAAUUGAUGGGAACUGUUUCUGCAAAAUAAGCUUUAAAGGAUUGUAAUAUCCAUGUGUAAUUGGUCUUGAAAGUGCAUCUUCCAGGAAUAUUUUCCAACCAUUAAGUAGAUUUAAUUUGGAAAGUGUCUUUACGAGUAUUGGAUCCGGACCCUCAACAUAUAAAGCUUUUGAAAUUGUAACUCUAACAAAAAGAGAGAGUAUUGUAUUGGCUUCUCUAAGUAAAGUUUAAUGUGCCAGUUUACUUUCCUUGAGGGUAAUUGGAGCGGUAGUCUUAUUUAUUUAUUUAUUUAUUUUACUGCAAACUUAAAAUGGCAUAUAUAUAUGCCAACUUUUUUGGUUAUCCAAAAUAUUGACACUUCACUAUUUGUCCUGUUCAGUCACAAGCUCUCUAAGACACGGCUUUCAUUUUUGAUAUUAUGAUAAGAGAAUAUGAAACGUUUAUGGUCUAAGGGAAUGCUUAUAUAAAUCAACCAUUUAAGUUAGUUUAAAUUCAAUUUGUUUUUUUAUGCUACACCCUAUAGGUAAAUUGAUUUGUGAAAGUAAAUUUAAGUUAGUUUGAAUUAAUCUAUUUCUGAUGCUCACACCUUACAGAUAGUUUGAAUUCAUCUAAUUGAUUUUGGGUAAUAGCUAUGAGCAUCCAUUAACGUUCUGAGUACAUUCUCAAGAACAAACUAUAGAUAGAUCUUCCCUUACCUUUUCCUUUUACUCUAUUCGAUUAGAAGUUGUAAUUAUCUUACUUAAGCUAAAAUUUUGAACAUGAUUGUCGUAAGUCAGAACUCCAACUCUCCAAGCAUUUUGAGACAAUUUAUUGUACUUUGUACAGCCUAAUGGAUAGUGUUAUCUAACUAAAUAUACUUUCAAAUCUAUCUUUUAUUAAUUUUCAUUUUAUUUUAUUCUUAUUAUGCAGCAAUUUAAUAGGUGCGGGCAGCUAUUUAGGUGAAAGUAUAUGUGAUUAAUGUGUUCACUUCAUCUGGAAGAGCUGCACGAUAAUGUAUUGUUGCGAGUUUAUGGUUUUAUAUUAAAUUUGGAUACUUUUACAUGCAGUAAUGCUUCCUUUGAAUGCCCAUCUUUCAUCUCUGGAUCUCUGAUUUUUUUUUUUCUUUGGUGUAUACAGAUUGAUUGCCGAGUACAGGCUGACUAUGAUCAUUCCCCCUUAAUUCCAGGCAAAGCGAUCACAUUAGUUAGAGGUCUUUUUUCCAUGCUAGCAGAUCCUCGUCAUCCUGUAAGUUCUUAUUCUACACUUGUUGUUUUGCCUCUUAUUCUAUUUCAAUUAAUGCAUGGCUGUUUCAAGUUUGCAAUUAGUAUACUUAAUAGGAGAGCUUAUAAAAUCCUAAUGUCACCAACGCUAAGUUUGCAUUCAUCUGUGGCUUACCUACUGAUUUACAGGUUUGAGUGAACGAGCGCCACAAAGUCCAUUCUGAAGGUAGCCCUUGGUCAGGGCAAGGUAUCAUGUUUAUUAAAGUCACACGAUCAUGUCGUCAUUGCCAAAACGUAGGUGAUGCAUCGGUUUUGAAGAUCAUUGAGCUUGAGGACUGAAAGCAAUAUGCACCCGUCUUUUUGUUGUUUAUUUCUACUCUUUCAUUUUUUUAUUUCUACUCUUUCAUUUUUACUCGGAGUUGGCCGUGGUUUAAUUAUUAACUUGCAAGGUUGUGGACAUGAGCUGGUGGAUUAAUAUGUAUUAAUGUAAUACCUUGCAUGUAUGAGGGUGUAUUGUUCUGUAUGUGGGCCUGGGUAGUUCAGGUGGCAGCACACUGUUGAUUUAACUCAAACCAGUUUUUUUCUGUUCACACCAUAUGAUAAGAAGAAAAGGAAACCGACUUGCUGCUCGAUUGAAACUGAUUUGCUAAUAACUUUGUGUGUUCACACUAUAUAACAAUGGUGGAAGAGGGAAACAGAUCUGUGUAGGUGCAGAUCAAAUAAAAAAAUUUAUAAAAAAGGAGAUAAUUAUAAGGAAGCUAGUAGGAAACUUGGAAUUCUAUGCUUGGGACAUGUAGCUUGUGAUUUGUUUUAGUAGACGAUUAUCAUAGCUAUUUUUCUUCGCGAAAGAUAAGGUAAGUUACAUUAUUUGAUAUCUUUUCUUGCUUUUAGGAGAUAGAUGAGGUUAGUGGAUGUAAGGGUAUGCUAUUGUUAUACUACAAUUUCGGUUAUGCGUAUUAAUUGAAUUUGUUUGAUUUUGAUUUCAUGAAAUUGAUCUUUAUUCGGUUAUUGUUGGAAAAUUGAUAGGAAAGCAUGUUAGUGUGUUGAUUUGAUUCUAACAUGAUAUUGAUUGUCAUAACUCUUAAUUGACGCUGCAAUGAAGUAUUAGAUUAUUAGUGACAUUAUUCAUGUAUAAUUUUUAUGCCAAAGGUGAGAUUGCAUAUUUUGAAAUUUAUGUGCAUUGAUAGUUAAGAUGCAUUUAAAUUGAAUGAAUGGAUUGAUUUGUGUGAAAGGGCUUUUGAGCCAGAGACUGUUUUGAACAGUCUGAAUUUGGGGAGACGUCCCUGGAGUGUACGGAGAGUAUUGCUCGGUGUCGCAUACAGAAGUACACUCAGUGGUGCUAUGUCACCAACCUUAUGAGCCUGCGGAGAGUAUUGCUCGGUGUCGCAUACAGAUGCAUGGCUGGGGUACUGCGGUACCAGAUGAUUUGAUAUCAGAUGGAUUGGCUUUAUGCNNNNNNNNNNNNNNNNNNNNNNNNNNNNNNNNNNNNNNNNNNNNNNNNNNNNNNNNNNNNNNNNNNNNNNNNNNNNNNNNNNNNNNNNNNNNNNNNNNNNGAUAUAAUGAGCUAGGCUACUCUCCGUAAUUGAAUUGCUAUAUUUUAUUGGGUGCGCUGAUUCCGUCCCUGGGAUCAAGAUCGGAUAUCAAGUUGUGUAACUUGCUAGCGUUUAAUCGCUCCUUUUUCCCUUCCUUCCAGGAAACAGGUAAAGCGAUUCUCGGAGCGUGCGAAGAGGAUCUAGUUGGAGAUAUUUAGCUUAGCAGGUGCUCUAAGUUGUUGUUAGUCUUUUGUUAUCAGUGUAGCCCUUGGGGCAGACACAGUAUGUUAUCUUUGCAGUUGUGUGUUUUUCUUUCAGUUCAAUCCUUGUAUAUAUGUAUAUACAGAGUUUGGUUUUGAAAUAAAUCUUCCGCUGUUGUUUUGUUCGAAUUUUGUACGUAUUAUCUUUUAUUAUUCUGUCCUUACAUGGAUAUUGGAUUUGGAGUUUGGUGUCACGUGGCAGUAGUGUGAACCUACGGUCCAUGGUGGACAUAUGGAGAACAUUACGACUCUGGAGUCUGGUCUUAGCCUGAUCAACUAGGAUUGGAUUUUGGGGGCGUCACAGUUGGUAUCAGAGCUUAGAGUUCAUUUGUCCUAGUGGGAUAUUCCUAGAGUCUGUAGGUGUUAGAGCACCAUAGGAGUAUGUUCGUACGUUAGUAUAGAUUGAGUGAGGACGUUACGUUUACGUUCCGUUUCAUUUCGUAUUCAGUUCUCUAUUCCUGGAUUGUUUCUCAUGUUUCCUGCUUGUGUUGCUACAGUGACUAAUGGCGGGACAAGAGGGACAUGCAGGGGAUGGGACUGAUACGAGUGGGACUGGAGUUGCGAUUCCAGCUUGGAUGCAGCCCAUGAUGACUUCGCUUACUAAUCUUACAGCAGAGUUAACAGCUUUGAGGAACAUGGGUGCAAAUCCACCACAGGGUAAUACGACACGUCAGCCAGGGGUACCAGCAGGUGAACCAGAUAUGACAGAAGGGGAAUUAGAAACAGGCCGAUUAGAGUCAUGGCUGCGGGUGAUAGAGAAAUUUCAGAAGCACAAACCACCUACUUUUGACGGCAAAGGCAAUCAUCUGGUGGCAGGUGAAUGGAAAGCUGAGGUGAAGAACGUGUUGCGCAUUAUGAAGGUGAACCCAGUCCAACAACAACUCUUGGCAGCCCUACAGCUUAAGGGUGGAGCCAGAAUGUGGUGGAAUAGUGUAGUAUUUGAAGAAGAUGAGGAUAUGAUGGAAUGGUCAGAUUUUGAGCGACUCUUUGAUAAGCAGUACAUCUCUCGGACAGCAAAGACCAUUACAGAAAAGGAGUUGCUGACUAUUCAGCAGGGUGAGGACACUGUUACAGAGUAUGAGCACAGAUUCAUUCGUCUUGCCAGGUUUUGUACAGAUCUGAGGUUCUCUGAUUGGCGUUUGGCUCGACAGUUUGAGGAUGGUUUGAGAACCAAUUUGAGGCGAGCAGUGCAGAAUCAGCAACAUCCUACAGUUAGGCAGGUUGCAGAGUCUGCUAUGAUUACUGAGGCAGAUAUCAUCCAUACCCGAGAGCUGAAGGAAGCUAGUGGUAAAGGGUUCGAUGGUGGUAAGUCUCAUAAGCGCCAUCAACCGUCCGAUGGACAGAAAAAUGGUAAUGAGAAGAAAUUCAAAUCAGACAGUUCGGGUAGCAGUUCGAGGUAUACAAUGACUUGCAAUGCUUGUAAGAGGCCAGGACAUAAGAUGGCAGAUUGUGAGAAGUUCAAGAGCGGAGCUUGCUUUAACUGCGGUGAGAAGGGACAUCGUGCUUUUGAGUGUCCUAAGAAGAAUCUGAAAGAUAAUGAUAAGAAGAGUGGAACUGAUCAGAAAUCUGCGGGUAGCAGUGGCACAUGGAAAAGUAAAGGUUCAACCCAGUCUACGGGUCAGACUCAGGGUCAGUCGUCAGGUACGGGACAGUUGUAUGCUCUACCGUACUAUUAUCAGCCAGGAGAGACUCCACAAGAAGCGAUAGUUCCAGCUGCAGUUCCCUUGCAACAACAGGCACCACCUGCACCAGUUACUGCAGCGAUAGCACCAGCACCGCCUGCAUAUGGUCGUGUGUAUACGAUGAUUCCUAGAGAUGCUACUGAUGGAGCACUCUUGGAAGGUACGUUCUGUGUUAAUUCCAUGCCUGCUAAGAUUUUGUUUGAUACGGGUGCAAAGUAUUCUUUCGUUGCACGUUCUUUUGCUCAUACCGCUGGUCUUGUUUGUGAGAAACUCGAGUCUCUUUUGAUUGCUGAGCUUCCUGGUGAGUUUUAUCAGUAUCUAGAUUCUGUGUGUCGGGAUUAUCGGGUUACUCUUGAUGAGCAUGAGUUUCGCGCGAACUUGAUUGUCUAUGACAUGAAGAGUUUCGAUGUAAUUCUGGGUCUGAGAUGGAUGCAGAGUUAUCAGGGGAAGAUAGAUACCAUAGCAAAGACAGUUACUUUGCAAGUGGAUGGUCAUGAUGUGACCAUAGCUACCCCUCGGGGUAAUGAGUUAGCUGAAGCUUUUCUGGCCCAUAUCGAGUUGGGAGCAUCUGGGAAGGUUGAUUUGGCAUUGUCUGGUAUGGCAGUGGUUUGUGAUUUUGAGGAUGUCUUUGGGGACAUUCCUGGCUUGCCUCCCCACCGUGUUGUGGAAUUUGGCAUAGAUUUGGUUCUGGGUACUGUACCCAUUUCCCGCGCUCCCUAUCGUAUGGCACCAGCAGAGACGAAGGAGUUGCAAGCGCAACUCAAGGACCUUGAGAGUCAGGGUUUCAUUAGGCCCGAGUCACUCACCUUGGGGCGCACCGGUGUUGUUCGUUAAGAAGAAGGACGGGACUCUUCGUCUUUGUAUUGAUUACAGAGAGUUGAAUAAGGUGACGGUGAGGAAUAAGUAUCCUCUACCGCGUAUUGAUGACCUUUUCGAUCAGCUUCGAGGAGCACAGUGGUUUUCUAAGAUCGACUUGAGAUCUGGGUAUCAUCAGCUGAGGGUUAGGGAAGAGGAUAUCCCUAAGACGGCGUUUUUGACGCGUUAUGGUUCUUAUGAGUUCCUAGUUAUGCCUUUUGGGUUGACUAAUGCACCAGCAUUUUUCAUGGAUCUCAUGAACCGCAUCUUUCGACCCUACCUCGAUCAGUUCGUGAUAGUCUUCAUUGAUGAUAUUCUGAUAUAUUCUCGUUCUGAGGCAGAGCAUGCAGAGCAUUUGAGAAUUGUCUUGCAGACAUUGAGGGAGCACCAGUUGUAUGCAAAGUUCUCUAAAUGUGAGUUUUGGCUUCGAGAAGUCAAAUUCUUGGGGCAUGUGAUUUCUGGAGAUGGUCUUUCUGUAGAUCCAUCUAAGGUUGAAGCAGUGCUUGACUGGAAGCAGCCUACUACAGUUCAGGAGAUACGUAGUUUUCUUGGACUCGCUGGGUAUUAUCGCCGUUUCAUUCAGGGUUUUUCCAAGAUUGCCACAGCUUUGACCUAUUUGACGAAGAAGGAUGUUCCUUUCAUUUGGAACAGAGAUUGCCAGCUUGCUUUUGAGGAAUUGAAGCAGAGGCUUAUUUCUGCUCCAGUACUGAUGUUACCUCGUACUGAUAUACCUUUCGUGGUUUAUACUGAUGCAUCUUUGUUGGGAUUAGGCGGUGUCUUAAUGCAGACAGAAAGGGUUGUGGCCUAUGCUUCGAGACAGUUGAGGAUCCACGAGAUGAACUAUCCUACUCAUGACCUUGAGCUUGCAGCAGUAGUGUUUGCACUUAAGGUAUGGAGGCAUUAUUUGUAUGGUGUUCGGUUUGAUUUAUUCACUGAUCACAAGAGUCUGCAGUAUUUGUUCUCUCAGAGGGAGUUGAAUAUGAGACAACGUCGAUGGAUGGAAUUGAUUAAGGAUUAUGAUUUUUCCUUACAAUAUCAUCCUGGAAAGGCAAAUGUUGUAGCAGAUGCCUUGAGUAGAAAACCGAAAGCUCGUUUAGCAGCCAUACAGUUAUGGCGUAUGGUUGAGACACUUAGUGACUUCGAGUUUUGCCCUAGAUUUGACGGUCAGCAGUUUACUCGAGUUGCCUAUCUGGGUAGUAUGACUUUGCAGUCUACCUUUGUUAGCCGAUUGGUUGAUGCACAGGUUUUAGAUGAGUGGAUUCAGGCUCAGAAGGAUGCUCUGGUUGAUACACCAACUCCAGGUUGGAGUAUUGGUAACGAUGGAGGUUUGAGAUUUCAGAAUCGUCUUGUUGUUCCUGAUAACUCUCAGUUGAGGGAAGAGUUAUUCGAUGAGGCACAUCGUACGAGAUACACUGUUCAUCCAGGAACUACUAAGAUGUAUAAGGGUUUGAAGCAACAUUUCUGGUGGAAAACCAUGAAGAGGGAUGUGGCUGAAUAUGUCUCCAAGUGUGAUACUUGUCAGAGAGUUAAGGCAGAACAUAUGAGACCAGCUGGUGAAUUGCAACCUUUACCCAUACCGGAGUGGAAGUGGGACAGUAUUUCGAUGGAUUUUAUCGAGGGAUUACCUAUUUCUGAGGGCCAUAACUCUAUUUGGGUAAUCGUUGAUCGUUUGACUAAGGUAGCUCAUUUCCUACCUAUUAGUAAUACUUAUACUGCUAGUGACUUGGGAACAUUGUAUGUUCAGAAGAUAGUAAAACUUCAUGGCAUUCCUAUGACCAUUAUUUCUGAUAGAGGUACUCAGUUUACUUCCAAAUUUUGGCGAGGACUUCAGAAAGCUUUUGGGACUGCCUUGAACUUCAGUACAGCAUUUCAUCCUCAGACCGAUGGACAGACUGAACGGGUGAAUCAAGUCUUGGAGGAUAUGUUACGUGCAUGUAUAAUUGACUUUAAAGGUCAAUGGGCCGAGCAUUUGCAUUUGGCAGAGUUUGCUUAUAAUAACAGUUAUCAUGCUAGUAUUGGGAUGGCACCAUUUGAGGCCCUAUAUGGUAGACCCUGUAGGACUCCAGUGUGUUGGGCAGAACAUCAUGAUCGCAUUCUUAUGGGAGGACCAAAUAUGGUUAAAGACACUACUGCGAAAAUUGUAUUGGUUAGGGAUCGAAUUGUGGCUGCUCAGGAACGCCAAAAGCGUUAUGCAGAUAAGGGAUGACGACCGAUUGAGUAUCAGGUUGGGGACCCUGUUCUAUUGAAGGUCUCUCCUAUGAAGGGGGUACGACGCUUUGGAAAAAGAGGAAAAUUGGCACCACGGUUCAUUGGACCUUUCAUUGUUCUUGAACGUAUUGGGAAAGUGGCUUACAGGAUCGAAUUACCUCCAGCGUUGGCAGAUGUGCAUAAUGUCUUCCAUAUAUCUAUGUUGAGAUUAUUUAAGAAGGAUGACAGGAAAACACGAAAUAAUCAGAAGGACAUGCAAAUUAAUUUGGCAGACUUUCAGAUAACUCCAGAGAUGUCCUAUGUGGAGCAACCAGUGAAGCUUCUCAAACGGGAAAAACGGGAACUUCGUAGAAGGAAGAUUCCUUUUGUUCAGGUUCUAUGGACUGGACGUACGGAACGUGAAGCUACUUGGGAACGUGAAGAGGAUGUUCGUCGUGACUAUCCGGUUUUCUUCGACAAGGUACGUGUGAAUCUCGAGGACGAGAUUCCUAUUUAAGGGGGGUAGAUUGUAAUACCUUGCAUGUAUGAGGGUGUAUUGUUCUGUAUGUGGGCCUGGGUAGUUCAGGUGGCAGCACACUGUUGAUUUAACUCAAACCAGUUUUUUUCUGUUCACACCAUAUGAUAAGAAGAAAAGGAAACCGACUUGCUGCUCGAUUGAAACUGAUUUGCUAAUAACUUUGUGUGUUCACACUAUAUAACAAUGGUGGAAGAGGGAAACAGAUCUGUGUAGGUGCAGAUCAAAUAAAAAAAUUUAUAAAAAAGGAGAUAAUUAUAAGGAAGCUAGUAGGAAACUUGGAAUUCUAUGCUUGGGACAUGUAGCUUGUGAUUUGUUUUAGUAGACGAUUAUCAUAGCUAUUUUUCUUCGCGAAAGAUAAGGUAAGUUACAUUAUUUGAUAUCUUUUCUUGCUUUUAGGAGAUAGAUGAGGUUAGUGGAUGUAAGGGUAUGCUAUUGUUAUACUACAAUUUCGGUUAUGCGUAUUAAUUGAAUUUGUUUGAUUUUGAUUUCAUGAAAUUGAUCUUUAUUCGGUUAUUGUUGGAAAAUUGAUAGGAAAGCAUGUUAGUGUGUUGAUUUGAUUCUAACAUGAUAUUGAUUGUCAUAACUCUUAAUUGACGCUGCAAUGAAGUAUUAGAUUAUUAGUGACAUUAUUCAUGUAUAAUUUUUAUGCCAAAGGUGAGAUUGCAUAUUUUGAAAUUUAUGUGCAUUGAUAGUUAAGAUGCAUUUAAAUUGAAUGAAUGGAUUGAUUUGUGUGAAAGGGCUUUUGAGCCAGAGACUGUUUUGAACAGUCUGAAUUUGGGGAGACGUCCCUGGAGUGUACGGAGAGUAUUGCUCGGUGUCGCAUACAGAAGUACACUCAGUGGUGCUAUGUCACCAACCUUAUGAGCCUGCGGAGAGUAUUGCUCGGUGUCGCAUACAGAUGCAUGGCUGGGGUACUGCGGUACCAGAUGAUUUGAUAUCAGAUGGAUUGGCUUUAUGCCAUAUGUGUGAUGAUUAGAUUGUUUAUGUAAUUUGUUAUGGAUUCGAGUUGCUGGAAUUGAUAUAAUGAUUAUAAUUGACACAUGUAUUGAAUUGCUAUAUUUUAUUGGGUGCGCUGAUUCCGUCCCUAGGAUCAAGAUCGGAUAUCAAGUUGUGUAACUUGCUAGCGUUUAAUCGCUCCUUUUUCCCUUCCUUCCAGGAAACAGGUAAAGCGAUUCUCGGAGCGUGCGAAGAGGAUCUAGUUGGAGAUAUUUAGCUUAGCAGGUGCUCUAAGUUGUUGUUAGUCUUUUGUUAUCAGUGUAGCCCUUGGGGCAGACACAGUAUGUUAUCUUUGCAGUUGUGUGUUUUUCUUUCAGUUCAAUCCUUGUAUAUAUGUAUAUACAGAGUUUGGUUUUGAAAUAAAUCUUCCGCUGUUGUUUUGUUCGAAUUUUGUACGUAUUAUCUUUUAUUAUUCUAUCCUUACAUGGAUAUUGGAUUUGGAGUUUGGUGUCACGUGGCAGUAGUGUGAACCUACGGUCCAUGGUGGACAUAUGGAGAACAUUACGACUCUGGAGUCUGGUCUUAGCCUGAUCAAGUAGGAUUGGAUUUUGGGGGCGUCACAAUUAAAGAGUGUACACUACUUUUAAAGAGCUGUGAUGGCACCAUGCUUUUUUGUUAUGUUGGAAUGAUAUAAACUAAUUGACUUUUUAUUACAAGUGUAGUUAUGCUGAAGUUCUCUAUCUGUAAUGUUAUUUGGAUUUUGUAAAUUGAGUUUGGCCCUGGGAUCAUAUUUUUCAGUCUGAAAAACAUUUUUGCAUAAUUUUUAUUUUUGGAUGUUCUAUUUUUCCUUGAUAAAUCUUAUUAACAAAUCGGCUGCAUGUGCUGAUGGCACUGCAUCCACAAAAUAUAUUUUACGGUUUACCUUUUGACAUUAGAGUUUGAAUGCAGAACACGAAAGUACAUAAUAGUGUCUCUUCAGGUAAGUGGUAUUGUGGUAACAACGAUUUAUGCAGGUACCAUGUACUGACCUUUAGCAAUCCCUUUGGCAAAAUAUAAUCAUAAAUCAUUACUGAUGAAUUUAACUUAAAAGUCCAGGAAAGUUUUCCCAGGUCUUACAAAUUUAAUGUAUAUACAUUAAAUUAUGUAUCUGCUUAAGGAUAUAUCUUAUAUUUAAUCAUCGGUAAUGAUUUAUGAUUAUGAUAUAUGAUUUUAAGUUAAAUAUAUAUAUGAUCUGAUUAAAUAUAUAUAUGAUCUGCUUCAGGAUAUCUUUAGAGCUUAAUGUAUAUAUCUUAUAUUUAAUCAUAUAUAUAUAUAUAUAUUUAAGGUAAAACUAGGAAAACAAACUUCAUUCGAUCAAAACAAACAGACGAAUAAUGGCAAAGUUUUUCCAGGUCUUGUGCUUUCUCCUUGUUCUCAUUUUCUUAGUUUCAGGUACAUUUUCUUACACCUACUGCUUUAGGUUUGCAUAAACAGGUAAUUUUAUUAUGGAUUAAACUCCUUAAGUUAGAAGUAAUGCAUACACCAACCCCUCUAUUAUAUUAUAUUGCUACCAUUGUUUAUUUAUUUAUUUAUGCAGGUGAUAUGAUACCAACCAAAGUGAAUGCUGAGUCUUGCAAAGACGAGAGGUUAGGUCCUGAUCUAUGUAGGUCUAACGACAAUGGCAAAACAUGCGAUCGAGGAUGCAGGGCGUCGCUAUCUGGAUCGGGUACCUGCAGGAAUAAUAUUUGCUGGUGCAGAGUAUGUUAGUGGUUAAGAAAUAUCUAAAUAAAUAAUCAAGAAAAUAAAUAUAAUCCAAUUGUUUUGUUUUGAAUAUUUUUGGUGUUACAUAGCUUAGUUUAUGACUAAACUAAGGUUCAAAUCCAAAUUCAGCAUAUAUUUGGGCUUGAUUUUCAAAUCUGGCAAGCCCCACGUAUUGAGCCCUCAAUAAAAAUGUUGGAAAAAAAUAGUUUAUUUGGUAAGGUAAUUAACUAAUUAUUAGAGAUGACAUAUCAAACAAAGAUUGGGGUAUUGUCGUAUUGAUAUGAUAUCCUGUCUAUCAAAACUAGCUUCUUCUUUUCCUAGUCUAGUAAAUCAACAUUCUUACCAGCUACUGUCUUUGAAGAUCCUAUCAAGCAAGAGUAGAUACAUGAUUUAGUUUUGGUUAUAGAAUCUGAUGACAGUUUCUGUCGAAUACUGUACAUUCAAAAUUGGAAAGAGCAGUAUAGAUUACCGCCUUGGAAGACCUUAAUUGAGAUAAUACACAAUGAAUAUGCAACCAGAAAUUAAACUUGUUGAGUAAAAUGCUUAAUAAAAUGAGAUGCUUUGCUUCUCAAAAGAGCGCAUUUUUAGUUAUGUAACACUCUUGUUUACUAAUGCAAUGCAAUCUGUGAAAAUCAACAAACUAAGGAAGAUAAAGUGUCAGGUAAUAUCACAGCUCCAGUUCAUUACAGAGGCUUGGGAACAGAUAAUUGAGUGCAUUCGUUUUGUUAAGUGGACAUAUCACAUAUGCCUAUGGGUAUUACCUGCCUGAGCCUGAACAUUAAAAGGAGCAGUUUUUUUAGUACCCUCAAGGUGAGGCAGAGUAUGGUUUAGAAUGUCUUCGUCAAUGUGCAGAAAAGGGAUUAGAAGUGCAGAGCUUAAAAUACAAAAAAAUGCAUCUUAAUGUUGAUUCCCUUCAGAAGAAUUCAAUGAGUUGUGUGUAUAAAUCUAGCGGGUCUAACCACUGUUACUCAAAUUAUUUUGGGAACUUGGUUCAAGCACUGGAGAAUGGUACGGUAUGGCUUGUGUGGACUUUUAUGGUGCAUGCGAACAGGACAGGCAACUCAAGAUCUAUUGGUGUUGGACGGUGCAGCAAAACCGAGCUAAUGGUCUUCUGACCAUUAUAACUAUUCGAAUAGGUUAUCUGCACUAUUUUCCAGUGCAACCUUUUGCUAUGUUUUCUGAUUACCUCUUUCACAUAAAGGUGCAAGGGAGGGGUUCCAGGGACUCAGGACAUGUUUGACUCAAUUUUGAGUCAAUCCUAUUUAGGGUAUUUGUACAUGUUGAAUUUGCAUGAUUUUUGGUAGAUAUGAUCUCCUUACUAUAAAGGUCUAUUACAUAAAAAAAAUCAGUUCAUUUGAAUAUAUUUAAACCCAUCAAAUGUAAUAUUAAAUUCAACGGUAAAAAUGAACGUUUCACAAUACAUUAACUUGUAAGAUUAUUUUUCUAGGGUUAGAAAAUUCAGAUUAUGAUAAAUUUUGGUGAAGAUGUCGUACAUAAUGAGAACAUUCGUCCUACAAAAAAUCAUGCCAAUCCAACAUGUACAAGUACCCUGAAUAGGAUUGAGUCAAACAUUUAAAAAUGUUACAUUACCAUUAUUAUGGGUAUAACAUUUGUAAUAAUAUUACCAUAUUAUUAUUUAGCAAAAGAAAAGUUAUAUUACCGUAUGUUAAAUGUUGUAUUUCAAGUGUCGACAAAAUAUGUUAUACUACCAUAUUAUUAAUUUAUUACUGGUACAACAUUUGUAAUAAUAUUACCAUAUUAUUGUUUAGCAAAAGAAAGUUAUAUUAUCAUAAUUACCAUCUUUAUCAUCUUACCAGGAUUGAUAAUAACAUUGGAUGAUAACCAAAUCCAAUAUUGAUGUAACCACCCUUGAGAUUGGAUACACGAACCAUCUGAAAGACUAUAACUAUCAGUGCAAUACCAAGAAUAUCUUGACCUAUCCAAACAAAAGGCUUUAAUUAGCCCAAAGAAUAGCAAAUGUUAUGACGAAUGGAGAAACAACCAAAGUAAGGUGAGAAACAGCUCCAAAGAAUGGUACUUUUGCAAAAGAUUCUCCAGCACGUUUGAAUCACCGCGAUAACAAUGCCAUCAAGCAAGCUAGUUUGAAGGCCCUCUGCUCCACCGAUACAAAACAUAACCACCAAAAGUUCCACAAACUAAUAGGACAUGAGUUUGUAUAGCAUAAUUAAGAAGCAUGAAGCAAUGACAACAAAUAACACUGUCGAGGUUGUGUUGAUGUCCAUCACCUGUGUUUUCCAUAGUGAAAUAAUCAUCUGAAGCAUCCUUCAAUAGCUUGUCUGGCUCGAUAACAACUUCUUUAACAUUUCAUGCAUUCCGGUAUAAUGCACAUAAAAAUAUUACCUAAUUGCCACGAGCAAUAAAAAUGUUUCUGGCGGAGAAUAUAAUUGCACGACGACCAAAGAGUUCCUUUUUAGGUUAUUCUCUAAUAUUGAGCGAACAUCUUGUUGUAGCAUGACUGUAGGUAUUUGUAUUUGAAGAUUCGUUUCACAAACCAUUUUGUGAAGUUUUGUUUAAUAUAAUAUUUUUACAUAAUCCAAGAUAAGAUCAUCUCAAAUUGCCGCAUCUAAACUCGUACAUAAAAAAAUCAGCUCAUUUGAAUAUAUAAAUGUUAUACAUUGAAUUUUAAGUAUUGAUUUUGAAAGCCUCUAUAUAAUUGUCCAACUUAAAUUAUUCAUUGUCAAUAAUCUAAUCUAUUAUACAAUUAUAAAGCAAAAUAAAAUUAAGGAGUAUUUCUCAGUCGAUGAGAAUUGAGCUUUAGAAUUUUGCAACACAAAAAUCUAACUAUAAUACCCUUUAAUACCUAUUAAAUAAUAAUUUUAUCGUAAUUCAACAUAUUAAAUUAUUUAUGAGAUGAAUUUUUAUUUAUGAGCAUCUCACAAAGAGUUCCCUUCUAUUUUUAUUUAUUAGUCGGACCUUCUUCUAUUAUUAUUAUUUAAUGAGUUGAAUUUUUAUUACCAUAGAUAGAGCCCCAAUAACUAAAGAGUUCCCUUCUAGUAAGUAACAUCUCUUCCAGCUUGUUGCUGAUUCAACACACAAGUAGAACUGUAGAAUGCUAGAGAAGCUUUUGAAAAUUCUUCCAUAUAUGUAGUAUAUUUUUAUUUUAUUUGAUAAAGGUUCUCUAUUAAAAUGUGGUUUACCAAAUUACCAGUGCAAAUUCUCUGUGCAAUCACUCUUACAGUAUGUAAUAUAAUUUUCUUCAUUACCAAGGCUACUGACAAAAGAAGGAGUAUCACUUUUUACAUAAUAGCAAAAAUAUGACCAAGCAUGAUUAGGAAUUACCACCUAGCUCAUCUGUCAAACUAAUAGUCGAAUUAAUGAAAGCUUAACAGGACAUACUCAUUUGGGAAUCAUCUGACAUUUUAUUGAACAUCAUACAUUGGUCAUCUUUGUCACUUGUCAGAAGAUCCUUCCAGCGAGUGUUGGAUCUUGGUCUAAUGUUCCAAUGUAAAAGUCUGCUUGCUAAGACUCAAAAUGAUAAGAUUUAGUUUGUUAAGAAGUCCUAGUCCUUAGGGAGUCUUGCUAUUUGAUUUUAGUCAAGUUUGUUUCCACAAUUCUAGUUAGAACGUGAGUGUAGUUUGUUUCAGUUUUCAUUCUGUAAAAGCUAUUUAAUAGCUGCUGCUUCUCAUUCAAUAAGGAAGUCAUUUAUUCCAGAAGUGUUUUUUGCAUUCUAACCAUCUGAGUAAUUCUAUGGGGACAACCCAUAUAGCCAGACACACGAGCCAGACUGACCUGGCUGCUGAUGUGGUCAGUCCAUGUCAGCAAAAAAAUUGUUCUCUCUCUGCUCAUCUCCUCCUCGUCCGUCUUUCUCCAAAAUUCAUAAUUGGUUUUUACUUUUCUUAAAUUUUUUCGCUCUUGUCUUCCUUUGCCAUUGAUAUCACCGAGUUAAAAAAUUGUAAACGAAAGAAAUUAAAGCACGAAGCUUUAUUUGUCUUUUGAAUUAGCUAAUUGAUACGAUAAUGUUGCUCAUCUUCAUCCAGGGUUAUAAAAACCAUUGAAACAAAUUAAAGUUAUCCAUUAAAUAAAAGCCUAUAAAUCUAUGGGGACAACCUUGAAAUCUAUGAGGACAACCAACUUGAUCUUACUGUAGUUCAAAAAUCUGACUUUAGUUUGUAUUGGAAAACUUUGAAAUCUAUGGGGUCAAUCUAUGGAGAGAGAUAGACGAGGAGGAGAUGAGCGGAGAGAGAGAACGCUGACCUGGACUGACCACAUCAGCAGCCAGGUCAGUCUGGCUCGUGUGUCUGGCUAUAUGGGUUGGCCCCAUAGAAUUACUCCUAACUAUCUGUUUUGAGUUGCUUGCAUCUAACAUUGUGGCAUCAGAGCCUGACUUGAGAGAUUGAGAGAGUGAGUUAGAGAGACAACAAGGGAGUGUGCAAGAGAUGGGGUCAGAAACAACCAAUAGCUUUGUUCAACCUUCUAUUCUGAAGUUCGAUGGUGAUUAUGAUCACUGGAGCAUGGUCAUGGAGAAUCUCCUUCGUUCCAAGGAAUACUUGACUGUUGUGGAAUCCGGCUAUUCACAACAUUUUGAUGAAGAGGUGAUGACCGUUGCACAGAGAAAAACUCUAGAGGAGAUGAAGCUGAAAGAUCUAAAAGCCAAGAAUUACUUGUUUCAAUCCCUUGACAAGUCAAUUCUAAAGACAAUCACACAGAAGGAGACAUCCAAACAACUUUGGGAUUCCAUGAAGAUGAAAUGUCGGGGAAAUGCUCGCGUACAGAGGGCUAAACUCAACCGUCUUCGCAGGAAUUUUGAGGUUCUGGCAAUGAAGCAAGGUGAAUCGAUCACUGACUACUUUGGUCGAGUGAUGGUGGUUGCAAACGACAUGAGGAAUUGUGUGGAAGCAUGACUGAUGUCAAGAUAGUUGAGAAAAUUUUGAGAACUCUCACCGGAAAAUGGAAUUACAUUGUUUGUUCCAUAGAAGAAGCAAAGGAUAUCGAUCGGUUAUCUGUCGAUGCCUUGCAGAGUUCACUACUUGUUCAUGAGCAGAAGUUCAAAAAGGAUGGAGACGAGGAACAUGCACUCAAGGUGUCACAUGAUGAAGGUUAUGGUGGACGAGGACGUGGGAGAGCUACUUUCAGAGGAGGAAGAGGUAGAGGCAGGAGUCGCCAAAACUACAAUAAGGCCACUGUUGAGUGCUACCAAUGUCAUCAACUUGGACACUUCCAAUACGAAUGUCCAAGUUCAGGGAGAAGCAAAUUAUGCAGAAUUGGAUGAGUCAGAGGAGAAAGUACUUAUGGCCUAUGUCGAGUUACAUGGAGUGAACCGAGAUGAUGUGUGGUUCAUUGAUUCAGGUUGCAACAACCAUAUGUGUGGUGAUCCAUCUCUUUUCUGUGACUUGGAAAAAGGAUUCAAAAAGGUGGUCAAAUUGGGCAAUCAUACGAGGAUGAACGUUGUUGGCAAAGGAAGUGUGCGAUUAUCUUUGGAAGGUGUCAAUUAUCUUGUAAAAGAUGUAUUUUAUGUGCCUGAAUUGAAGAGUCACCUUCUCAGUGUCGGACAACUGCAAGAAAAAGGACUAGCCAUUCUAAUGCGGUCCAAUCAGUGCCGAAUCUACCAUCCCACAAAGGGUUUGAUCAUUCAAACAAACAUGAUAGCCAACAGAAUGUUUGUGUUGCUAUCAAACACACAACCAAUCAAGAAAGAACCAAAGGAGGUAUGUUUCCAAGCAACCACUCAAGACAUAGCUCAUCUUUGGCAUCGUAGAUAUGGCCAUCUCAGCUACAAAGGACUUCAGAUUCUGCAAAACAAAUGAAUGGUGAGAGGUUUGCCGAAUUUUCCUGAAUCUAAAGCUAUAUGUACUGAUUGUUUGAAGGGGAAGCAACACCGAGACGUUAUUCCGUCGAGAAGCACAUGGAGAGCAUUAGCAAAGUUGGAGCUAGUUCAUGCAGAUAUUUGCGGUCCAAUCUCUCCUAAUUCUCACAACCACAAGAGGUACCUUAUUUGUUUUAUCGAUGACUUUAGUAGGAAGGCUUGGUACAGUUUCUUGUUUAUAAGUCAGAUGCAUUUGCUUCCUUUAAGUUAUUUAAAAGUUGUGUAGAAAAAGAAACUGGUUUGUCUAUUAAAUGUUUAAGAACAGAUCGUGGAGGAGAAUUCACAUCACGUGAACUCAACGAUUAUUGUAGAAAGAAUGGAAUCAAGAGACAAUUGGACCACUGCCCAUACACCGCAACAAAACGGUGUCGCAGAACGGAAGAACAGGACCGUGAUGAAUAUGGUGAGAAUUUUAUUGAUUGAGAACAAUGUUCCGAAGACAUUCUAGCCGGAAGCGGUGAACUGGACAUUCUAUAUUCUUAAUAGAUGCCCAACGUCGUCAGUGAAAGACAUGACACCAGAGGAAGCUUGGAGCGGGAUGAAGCCUUCUGUAGAAUACUUGAGAGUCUUUGGUAGUAUAGCACAUGUUCAUGUGCAUGAUGCUCGACGAACAAAGCUUGAAGACAAGAGUCGCAGUUGUGUUUUAUUUGGGGUGAGCAAAGAAUCAAAAGGAUAUAGACUGUAUGAUCCAGUGUCGAAGCAGAUUGUGCUUAGCAGAGAUAUCGUUUUUGAAGAAGAUAAGAAGUGGAACUGGGAUGCAAGCCAUGAAGAACAAAUUAAGCUAGACUUAGAAUGGGGAGAUGAAGAACACAGUAAUGAAGAGGAAGAGAGUGAAGAUACGGAAGGGAGUGAAGAAAUUGUGCCGACCUCGGGAAAUCUUGAUAUUCCUGAAUCUUCAAAUGCAAGAGAAAUUCACAAUAGAAGAUCACCAGUAUGGAUGCGAGACUAUUUUACUGGUGAUGACAUGAACGAUGAAGAUGUACAAGCUCACUUGGCUUUCCUUACUAGCUCCGACCUGACCAGUUCCGACCCAACCAGUUUUGAUGAAGCAGUAAAAAAUGAAAAAUGGAGGCAGGCUAUGGAUUCAGAAAUGAGAUCAAUUAAGAAGAAUGGGACGUGGUUUCUAACUGACUUGCCAAAGGGAGUUAAGAGGAUAGGAGUCAAAUGGGUCUACAAAACAAAAUUGAAUGAACUUGGAGAAGUGGAGAAGCACAAGGCCCGCUUAGUCGCAAAAGGUUAUGCCCAGGAACAUGGAGUUGAUUACAAAGAAGUGUAUGCUCCUGUAGCUCGAAUGGACACAGUGCGGAUGAUCUUAGCUCUUGCAGCUCAGCGAGGUUGGAGUGUAUUCCAACUCGAUGUAAAAUCAGUUUUCCUUCAUGGAGAAUUAACUGAAGAUGUUUAUGUUGAGCAGCCGAGAGGUUAUGAGAUGCAGAAUGAGGAGCAAAAGGUAUGCAAACUCAACAAAGCUCUGUACGGACUCAAGCAGACACCAAGAGCAUGGUUCAGCCGGAUUGAGUCGUACUUCAAGCGAGAAGGUUUUGAGAAGGAUGAUAGUGAACAAACUUUGUUCACUAAAGUCAACAAACAAGGUAAACAUUUGAUCAUUAGUUUGUAUGUUGAUGAUUUAAUUUAUACAUGAGACGAUGAGGUUAUCAUGUGUGAGUUUAAGGACUCCAUGAUGAAGGAAUUUGAUAUGUCGGAUUUGGGCAAGAUGGAAUAUUUUCUUGGCAUUGAAGUAUUGCAAUUUGAUGGAGGGAUAUUCAUUAGUCAGAAGAAAUAUGUGAUGGAAGUGUUAAAGAAGUUUGGCAUGGCAGAUAGUAAUUUUGUUCAAAGUCCAAUCAUUCCAUGGUUCAAAAUUUCUAAAGAUGAAAAUAGGGUAGAGGUGAAUGGUUCGUUAUACAAGCAGCUGGUUGGAAGCAUGAUGUAUUUAACCGUGACAAGGCCGGAUAUAAUGUAUGCAGUUAGCCUAAUUAGCAGGUAUAUAUCAAAGCCAACUGAGCUACAUUUUUCAACAGCCAAGAGAGUUCUUCGGUACUUGCAAGGUACCAUUGGCUUUGGUAUUUUUUAUCAGAAAGAAGGAAAUAAGGAACUGGUUGGCUUCACUGAUAGUGAUUAUGCUGGUUGUGUGGAAGAUAGAAAGAGUACAUCGGGGUAUGCCUUUAUUCUAAGUGGAGCAGCAGUGGCUUGGUCUUCUCGAAAGCAACCAAUAGUUACACUUAGUACAACAGAAGCCGAGUUUGUUGUGGCUGCAGCAUGCACUUGUCAGGUGGUGUGGAUGAAAAGGGUGUUAAAGAAGAUUGGUUAUAAUGGAAGUGAGAGUCCUGUCAUCUUUUGUGACAAUAGCUCAACAAUCAAGUUGUCAAAGAAUCCUGUGAUGCAUGGCAAGAGCAAGCACAUUGAUGUGCGUUUCCAUUUCUUACGUGAUCUAGUGAAUGAAGGAGUUCUGCAGCUCAAGUGGUGUGGUACACAGCAGCAAAUAGCAGACAUACUUACCAAACCACUCAAGCUAGAGACAUUUCAGGAGCUUAAAAAGAAACUGGGAGUUUGUGAUGCGCCAAAAAUAAACUAGUUGCCUGCCUAGGCAGUCUAGUUUAGGGGAGGAAAUGAUAAGAUUUAGUUUUUUAAGAAGUCCAAGUCUUUAGGGAGUCUUGCUAUUUGAUUUUAGUCAAGUUUGUUUCCACAAUUCUAGUUAGAACGUGAGUGUAGUUUGUUUCAGUUUUCAUUCUGUAAAAGCUAUUUAAUAGCUGCUGCUUCUCAUUCAAUAAGGAAGUCAUUUAUUCCAGAAGUGUUCUUUGCAUUCUAACUAUCUGUUUUGAGUUGCUUGCAUCUAACACAAGAAGCUUCGAGACAAAGCAUGAUCGUGGAUGUCAAUUAUUGUCUAGAACCACUGUUUGGUCGCCUUGCUUGAUAAAUGGACAGGAGGAGGUACCAGUGUUUUUGCAUUUCAUUUUACAUUUGAACCUGCAAAAGAAAUUAAACUAAACUAUGAGACACUGCUGCCAUAUAGACAUAUUUGUUGAACUUAGUCAAAGAAAGGCCAGAAUAAUAACUAUAACACUCACAAGAGUCAGUUGAGUUCCUUCAACUUGAAUCUCAUACUUAACAAUAUCCUUCCAGCUGGUACACGGCCAGAUGGACCACACAGAAUCCCAAAGAGACAUUGGAUUCAAUCAAAAGAACAUAAUGAACAUAUAAUUAGAAAUAGUUGCUUUGAAAUCUACUAACAUUCUUACCAUGGUAUGCGAUUUACCAAAUCCGGUCUGACAAUACGCAAAAGUGCAGUGCAGACAUUGUCACCAUCCAUGACAAAUCUAAUCAAAGGUUAUACCUCAUCUAGCAAAGUAAAGUGACUCAGAUGAGAAGUGCAGUCUGGUUAUAGCUCCUAAAGAAUACACAGAAAUGAAUUGUGCAAUUGACCUACCUUAUUGGCUAGAUGUUGGACCAAAGACGUGAUUAAACUGAAAAACUUUACGUGCAUCUUUAUGCGGUUUUUAUGGAUCUACCACCACAAGAGACCCAUCACCCCGACACCCCCAAUAUGAUCAAUCACAUUUCUUGUAUCAGUGCCAAUAAUAGGUCAAACUCUGCAAUAAACUCAAAUAUUCCCUACAAUGGAAGAGCUUAUUAAAAUUUUGCAUCACACGUCUUUAAUGAUUGGUACUUCAAAUAUGAUAAGCAUUCAAAAUUGUAUCCCACUAAUAAACCAACCUUUGAGAUCCUGAACCAUGUUGUAGAGAUCUUCAUAUUCUGUUAUGACUCUUUGCUAACCAAGAGCAGCAAAUGACAUUUCUUGAACCUUCUUCCCUGCAAAUAUAAUGUAGAAGAGGAUUUUAAAUGUUAUUACAGGGUAAUGAUUCUGCAUUUAACCUUCAUUUUCAUACAAAGACACAUACCUAGUUCUUGUAAAUCAUUCUGCAAUUGAGCUUGCAAAACUUCGUACUCAUUCUUCGUCAUUGAUAGUAACAUCUUGAGAUCCUGUAAACCUGACAAUGUCAGAAACUUGAAUCACUACUUCCAAUAUCAUGCUAAUAAUUCAUUCCACAGUUAGUAAUCCUUUUAAGAUGAAGGAACAUAUAAUAAAAUAGAAAAGGGAGGCUUAACUUACUUAGUCAGUAGUUGAAUGUUUGCACCUUUUGAGAAUACCCAAAUUGCAAUUUGGCAUUAAAAGAACAAUCAAAAGACCAGAAUCAAUGAUUAACAGAAUCAAAAGAGAAAAGAAGAGUGAGAUUAUGAAUGUUUCUUUACUUGUUGUAGAACAGUAAGUAACGUACGAUUGAUUACACAGUUUUCUUGUUUAUGUUUAUCACUAAUAAUCAUACUAACUACUAAGCACGACAUUAUUUCGGUUUUCAAUUUCAUUGAGGAUCACAUUAUAUCUCAUUCUUUAUUGUUUAUGCCAGUGAACUGAAAUAAGUUACAGAGGAAUAGAUGUACAUUUCAAUUUCUCUCUCUUCCUAUUGUACAAGCUAAAGUUUAGAUUUAGCACUCCUGUCCGUUAUCUGUAACGCAUCAUAAUGGCCAAAACCAUGAUAGAGAACUCUAAUCGGGUUCUCCUUUCCAUAUUCUUGACCAUACUCAGCAAUGCUUAUCAGACCUCGAGCAUCCUCGUCGUACAUAUACACUGUAAUUGGCAUCCUGCAAAACACAAUAAAUGAUUCUCAAAUUUCUUUUCUUGAUUUUACAUUUAUGGGUAUGCAACUCAGCAUUAUGAUAACUGGUUGCCCUUAAGCAAAUACAAACAAAUUAUGAUUAGUCGAGCUACAAAUAUUAGACCAUGGAAUAGAAGUACUUACUGGAGAACAUGUGAGGCCAUGAACAACUCAGGCUCACCACCCCAUACAUGUGGCUUUCUAAUAUGUGAAACAUACGUAUCAAAAUCACCUUCAACAAACCUAACCACACAAUGAAUCAUCCAUUAGCAAUAACUCUAGUUAUCACGGACAAAUUAGGAACAAACUUAGGGGAUCUUGGCAAAAAUUACAUUUUAACAACUCACCAUUCUGUUUCUUCUCGUCUUUUAAUAAACUCAUCUGCAACCUGUGAGGAUUCAAUUACAAAAGGACCUUUAGCAUAGUCGAAAUGAGAAAGUCACACAAACAAUUCAUAUUUUGAGGCCAAGAUCAUCUGGGAAAAAAAAAACUAAACAAUGAAGUGGGAAGAGAAGAUAUACUCUAGCCCUUAAUUCAUCCGCUAGUUCUCUUUGCAGACUCUCACUUGGACAGGGUUUACCGGCUCGUAGACAAGCCCCAUGAGCCACAGAGCGGAAUAAACAUCUGCCAUCUCCUGGUAUGCCUGCAAGAUGGAAGCAUUGCAUACUUGAUUACAUAAAAGUAUAUAACACCUCGAACAGUUGGCUUCAAACAUAGAACUCAAUGGAAAGGGAAAUAAAUAGAUAAUCAUCCCUGAUCCGCCCAUCAAAUUUGAAAAUACUACUCACCAGUUAUCGAAUAGUUGGUGUGAACUGUUUUCCCAUGGAUAGAACCAACUGAUGAAGAACCAUGAUCACCAUUACCACUAUCCUUCCCACUGUCUGCCUCAGCAUAUACUGGUUUAAAGCUAAAGAAACAAAUUGAUAACCCGAAAAGUAUGCUUGUAGAAGCACCUCCUUGUAGCCAUGAUGACGAUCCUCUAUUCCAGCUAACUUUGGUAACCAUGUCUUUGUUUGGACAUGAAAUCCUCAAUCUCGAAUUUUGGCCUGACAAAAAAACACCAAGAUGUCUUCUCCGGUGCCCAAUAGAACUUACUAUGUUUUUGAUAGUUAAUGAAUUUGACGAGUUGCUUCUUUGUUUGAAAAAACAUUGCUGGAACACUUGAUAGCCAGCAGCAGAUAUACUGAAAGAUCUCUUAGAAGUUGUCAAAGCAACAUUUCUAGGUUGCAACUCAUUGGCACGAACACAAAAACUUCGUGAUCUAGAUGGCAACCGAGACACAACAUUAUGGACUUGGCUACACAUUUUUCUUCGAACACGUCCAGAAAGAUAGAUGGCUUGUUUCACAGGCGUAGUGAUUGGAGAACAAAGUAUCAUACUGACAUAGCUUAACAUACACACAAACUAAUCUGCAUUAGUUACCAACUCUACAUUUAAGAAACAGAUAUCUGAUUAUUUUAUCAUGGACUGAUUACUGAUAUGUAUUUUCUUCUCUUCAACAACAACAACAACAAAAUGAUACAUAAUGCUGAAAAUGUAACCUUGUAUCGAUUAGCGGCAAAUUCCCAAAACGUUUAUAUACAUUCUUAAUGAAUUCUAAAGUAGCAUUGAACAAAAGAAAAUCAUUUUCUCAAGUAGCAUUGAAUAUAUAAUAAUAAUAAUAAAUUAAAAAAUGAAGGUUUACCUUGAAUGUUUGAAACCAGAAGAAGCCGUAAAAAAAGCUCAAUUUAGCAAAUUUAAAGAAUACCCAAAUUGUAUUUUGGCAUUAAAAUAACAAUCAAAUGAGAGAGAGAGAGAGAGAGAGAGAGAGAUUUGAAAAGAAGGAAAAGAAUAGCUGAAUUGGUGAAAACAAUACUACAAAUUGAGUUUGAAGAAGAAAAGAAUAAUAAAGAUUGAAACUUUUUGUACAAGGUUUAGCUAUUUAUUGAUUCUUCUUGGAACACAAGAUGUUAGAAGUCUUAAGAGAUCGAAAUGAAAUGAAAUGAAACGAAAGACUCUUUCUUCUUUAAAAAACUUGUUUUGCAAAUAAGAAGUUUCUGGACCGUUUUAGACGUUUGGGGUUCACUUAAUAAAACAAAAUAGGUGCCCUUAAGUCAUUGGCUUGCCACUGACUUGACAGUGUUACCAACGGAGCUAAAAAACAAUACUAGCUAUUUUUUCUUUGCAUUUACUGUAUGUUUCUCGAAGAAACUUGCGCUUGCGAGUUGCGCCCUUAAAACAUCGAAUUUUUCAAUUUCCAUGAAUGGAGAUUGGUUGGUGAUAGCUAGUACUAAAAUUGUACAAGACCAUGUAUGGAGGUCCAUGGCUUUAGAUAUGUAUCGCAGCAACCAUACAUAGGGCAGGAGCUAAGCAAAACUGCAAAAGUGACCUAAUGUCUGCUGAAGAGAGCAAGUUAAGAGUUGUGUGACUGAUCCUUGCAUUGAGAAUACAGUAUUCACAGGGACACAAGGUGCGGUAGAACGCUACUAUCGCGUGCCACAGCUACCAGGAUUACUGUUCUGGUCUUUAGUGCAAGGUUAAAUGCUCAUGCAGCUUGCUGAUAAGCUGAUUUAGAAAUGAUUUAGCUAGGUAUAAUCUUGGAACUCUUUAUACAGUAGUGUAAAAAAAUAUUUGUACUAAUCUACAAUAAUCACAUUUACCUAAGCUUGCAACAAAGAAACUUUAAAUCAGUCAGUUGCACUCAUUCAGUGAAAAUAAACAUACACUUUUGUUACUCGACAAGAAAAAGAAACUUAUGAUACAUUGUCAAUGACCUCUAAAGACAUUACACAUUACAAUAUGUUGCAGUACUCUUGCGCUCCUGCAGUAAAACCAACUGAUGAAAAAUAUGUAUUGUAGUUCUCUCCACCCAUGCCAAGUUAGAACUUUGGGAUACUCAAAUGUCACCUUUCAGAAGAAGCAUCAGAACAGCUCAGAUCCCAGCACCAUAUAUGGUGAAAAACGUACUCCUAGCUUAGACAAUCAUUUUACUUCAGUUGAGAAAGUAUAAAACUAUCCAUGGUGACCAAAUCUCCCAAAUGAAUAUAUAACUUUGUGUUUGCGCAAACACUAAUUUUUGCACAACCCAUUCAACCUCAUAACCUACACAAUUUCUUUUUAUCAUCAAUAUUCACACAAUCUAGACUAACUCUCAAGACGUUCUGAAAAUAUCAUCUGUGAACUCAGACAAAUGCGAUUCAAGUCUGUCUGCAUACAAUUCAAGUAUGUCUGCAUAGGCUACCUUUCAGCAGAAGUAGACAUAAUGCUUUGUUCACUAUGAGCUUUCUAUAGCAUACCAUGUGCUUUAUUGAUCAUACCAUUUGUUUUUUUGACCAUACCAAGAAUCUCGAAAACAUACAGAUUAGGCCACAAGAGGAAGCCAAUAAAACAGGUUUUUGAUGCCACAACAACCACAUAUUAUUUGUUUAUACAAAGAAAACACCGAGGAGUACUCUUUGAUCAUAUUAACCAUCCCAAAACAACUGAUCAAAGCACCAUAUUGGUGUAAGACAUCAGAUCUAAAGUAUAGAAUCAAAUAUAACAAGUGCAACAUCUUCAAAUCUAAUUAAACUCAAACCAAUCUAAAAAGGAAUCUCAAAGAAGUAAAUGCAAGCUUCAAGAAGUAUUACCUCUGCCGCCAUCUAAAAAUGGAUAUAGUUUCAGUGUGAUAGGGUUUGAAGUAAAAGUCUCUUUGCUUUAAAUAGUUAAAAACAAAUGCCACGUCACUGUUGGAAAACCUAGUUGAGACUUGAGACGGUCAAUUGACUCAAUUUCUUUGGUGCAAAAUAUCAUAGAUCCUCAGUCCUCACCUUUACUACAAGAGUAUUAUACCUGAGGUGUUCAAAGCCUUUUCACCCUGUCAGAACUUUUUCAUGGAGUUUCUAUAAGAGUUCUAGUUUUGCAUAUCGUAAUAAUGUUGGCUCUGGCUUAAAUAAGCUUUCGAUAUGUUACUUUAGAUGGGAACCACCACCACCAACAUGGUUCAAGAUGAUAUCCAGGGGUAUCAGCCCGUUCAGUUCUUGCCUAUUACCACUUCUCAAGAAAGAAAAAACUUAAGCUUAAGCAAGCUCAAGAAAAGAAAAAGGGAUCACGUCGUGGGGGAAGAAGCAUGCUCAAGAAAAGAAAAAUGCUUAAUGCUGCUGCUGCUUUUGCUUUUCCUCUGGAGAGAUCACUUAUAGCUUUCUUGAUGAUCGUCUUAUAAAUUAUGUUGUGGGAUCUUCUAAUGGCUUCUUACUGGUUGAACGAAACUGGCCCAGGACUUGUAUGAUUAACAAGCAGCAGUUGGUCGCUCUGCACCCAAUCCCCAACCUGUACUACAAAUGGAGCGCUUCGAUAUAACUUUCCCUUUUGGUUUCUCUUGGAACGUGCAGCUUUCUCCUAUCAUUGAUGAAGAAGGUGUGAUUUACUUGUCUGGUUUCACGAAAAAACCAUUUGUCAUAGUCUCGGCAAUUGGCAUCUUUAAUCCAAGUAAUAAUAUCUCUCAACUGAUCGAUUUCCCCCCAAGAAAGGAGGAUGUUAAUCAGGAUUGUGGUUUGUUUGGUAAGUCAGCAGAUGGGCUACUUCUAUAUGGAAGUUAUGAACUCGACGAGCUUGGAAUAUGGGUGCUCACUGACAAGGAUGACGGUACAAGGGAAUGGUCUAUAAUACACAAAGCGAGCCUGCCAGAGUUUUUGGUGGGCAAAAAAUCUAAUCUGGUUGAGUUAAUAGCAUUUCAUCCAACAAAUCCCCAAAUUGUUUUCUUUUCUAUUAGAGAUAAGGGGUUAUUCUUAUAUGAUGCGGACAAAUCAAGGUGGGAGCUCAUUUGCGAUUUCUGCACAUUAGGAUGCAACUUAAUCCUACAUUUAGCGAAAAAAAGGAAAUUAAUCCCAUGUACAGAUCCUCUGUUAGGCCCUCACUUGUUUCAUGAUUAUCAUUGAAGUUAUUUGUAUUAGUCCCAUCAUUAAUCCUAUUCUACCAAUUUGUUUGAUAUGUAAUCAAUCUUAUUUGUAUUAUUGGCCUGCACAAAGGACCUCAAUCAAAUGUGGUGAUGCACGCAAUCAAUUUUUUUUUUUUUUGGCCAUUUUCUUUGGAUUUAUGUUUUUUUAAGAAAAUUCGGACGUGUUUAACACCCCUUCAUGUGUAUUUCUGUCCACACACACCCCUUCAUGUGUAUUUCUGCCCAUCACUUCAGAUAUGCUCACGAAUGUUCAUGACUGUGCCAUCCAUUUACAUUGCAGCAAACCAUGCAUAGUGCAUAGGGCAGGAGCUAGGCACAAGUGACUUCAUGUCUGCUGCAGAGGGAGCAAGUUAGAGUUGUUUGACUGAUCCUUGAGACUACUCACAAAGUUCUGAAGACAUAUGCAUCACAGAAACCAUGCAUAGCGUAUAGGCCACAGGCCCACAGCUAUCCGGAUUACUGAUCUUUAGUGCAAAGUUCAAUGCUCGAGCUAGGUGCUGGUUAUUGUUGCAGAAGCUGAUUUAGAAGUAAUUUGGGUAUAAUCUUAGAACUCUUUAUACAGCAGUGUAAAAAUUAUUUGUACUAAUCUAGGAUAAUCUCAUUUAGGUAAGCUCGCAACAAAUAAACUUUAAAUCAGUCAGUUGCACUCAUUUGAAGUUUCGGCGAAAACAAACAUAACCACAACACUUUUGUUAGUACUAACAAGAAAAAGAAGCUAAUGAAGCAUUGCCAAUGAUAUGACCUCAAAGAGAUUACAUUAUGUUGCAGUCCACUUGCACUCUUGCAGUAACACUAAAUGAAGAGCAGCUCAGAGCCCAUCAUGUAACUAGGAGAGUUAGCAACCAAAAUCUCCCAAAUGAAUAUAUAUAACAAAACACUAAUUUUUCCACAACCCAUCCAACACCCAUAACAUACUCACAUCUUUCUCUUUUUAUCAUCAAUAAUGGCACAAUCAAAAGUAACAAAACCUCACUUUAGUUGAUAGCCAAAUCCGAAUCAAGUCCGCUUGCAAUACGAUUCAAGUCUGUCUGCAUGGUCUACCAUUCAUUAUAAGUAAAUAUAAUGAUUUGUCCCUUGUGACUGUAUUUUAUUAUCCGAUGUGCUUUAUUGAUCAUACCAUUUCCUUCUUUGACCAUACCGAGAGUUAUGAAAACAUACCGAUUAGAUCAUAGAAGUAAUUAAAACCAAUAAAACAUGUUCUUAAUGCCACAAUAAGAACAAAUCAUUUGUUUAUACAAAGAAAACACGGAGAAGUACUCUUUAAUUAAAACACCAUAUUGAGGCAAAAAAUCAGACUUGAAGUGUUAGAUCAAAUAUAAUAAAUGCAACAUCUUCUUCAAAUCUAAUCAAACUCAAAGCAAUCUAAACAAGAAUCUCAAAGAAUUAAAUGCAAACCUCUUCAAGAAUCAAGAACAAUGAACUUUGCCGACUGCCGCCAUCUAUAAAAGGAUAUAGUUUCAGUGUGAUAGGGUUUGAAGUAAAGUCUCUUUGCUUUAAAUAGUUAAAAACAAAUGCCCACGUCACUCUAGUUAAGAGUUGAGACGGUCGGGUCAAUUGACUCAAUUCGUUUGGUGCAAUUACUGUUUUGCCCAAUAUCCUAGUAUAAUCCGGUUACAAUUUGAGGGUAAUAAUGGAAUCAUAAAAUACUUGUGCAUUUGCAAAACACACCUUUCUGGGUCCAUUUUUGGCAAAAAUCUUCUGGGUCAUUAAUGCAUAAAAACUCAAAAAAACACUAGUAACAAUCACAAAUUCACAACAACAAAUACUAGCUCUGCAAUAAAGCAGAUCAAAAGUUCAACUGAGCGUUUUCCAGUAACAACAGUCUAUGCCGAACUGAAAUGUGUGUGAUUCAAUCAAGAGUACAAUUGAAGUAUCUCUCUAAGUACAACAGGGCAAACAAAAUCCGACCAAAUUGAAAUGAACCAUAAUGCAUUAAAAGUUCAACACACAAAAAAAAAAAAAUCCUAGAUCAAAGGAUUCUACGGCAAACAAAACAUUGAGAAGCAUUUUCAUCCACAGUCCAAUUUCUCUGAUAAAAAAAUGGUGCUCUCACUCAGCAAAUUAUAUGCUAUCGCCACUCUUGCAAAUAUCGAGCUUUCUGAUCAAUAGAGUUACUGUGCUAGAAAUACAGCAUCUCAAUUAUUUUCUGCAAACUUUAACAUCAAGAGUACAGGUAGAGGAAUAUUCUUCGGCAAAAGUGGCAGCACUUCAAACUCUCCAAAGGUUGACAGUGCAGACGGUAAAUAAAGCUUAUCUGGUUGGAUGUUUACGCAAAGCUGCCUUGCCACCUGUAAAAAUUGAACAGCUUCAGUCAAUCAUCACAUUCAUAUUUCCACAGAUCACUUCUUUCAUGAUUACAUCUUGAUUUACAAAAAAUUGUUGGGUUAAGUAGGGAUCAGAUCACUAAAAUGAAUUCCAAACCUUCACAUGGGCGCAUACACAAGAAGAUUGAUUGCAGCAUGUUGAAAUCAAUAUGAUUGUGGUCAGACAGGGAACACCAGACAACCACUUUUAGAUUUAAGUUCUCAUGAAAUUUCCCAGUUCCACAAUGAAACACUCCAGGUAAAAUACUGUCUUCAAAAAUCAUCAGUUGCUCUUGACGCAAGGGAUACAAUUUAGCUCCUCAAUGCCCUCCACAGUAUAAUAUGGAAAUUUAUCACCCUUUUCUAGAAUAAAUAAUUUGUUUCAUUUUCAUAAAAAAAAAAAGAAUAAAUGAUUUCCUUUUUCUUUUUCUCCCUUGCUUAGGCCAACAAGGGUAUUAAAUACAAAUAUCUUCAGAUGAAUUAGUAAAAAUACAUAUUUAGCAAUCUCCUGUACUAUGUUUACCGAGAUCUUCCUGAACAAAUAAAUGUAUUGUGAUGUUUCCCAUAUCGAUAUCAGAGAUUCUUUUUUUAAUACAGUAUCAAGACUCCAAUGGGAAUGCACUUAACUAAAUCAUAUAAGAAAACGUAUGAUGCCUCUAUUCAUGUAAUCAUGCAUCUAUGUGCAGUUCAUGAAAAAAUAAAAGAAAAAUACCUCAGCUGCAAGCUCCUCCUUUGUGACAGGUGAAUGCAGCUCGUUCGGAGAGGAACUUGACUGGACUUGCCUCCUCAGCACCUACAUAUAAGUCCACAUAGGUACAAGUCAAGUACUAUCAAUUAGGAAUACCCGAAACUCAACCACUAUUCUAUAUUAAAUAUUUACACUUUCUCACAAACCUACAAAUAUAUGCAUGCGUACAUGAUUAAUAAUUUCCAAAAAAAAAAUAGAAAUUAUCAUCUUGUGUUUAUUACCUUAAAGAUCUAUGAAUCAAGCAGGUUCAGAGAAUCCCAAACAACCUGAAUCAUAUUGUUUGAACCAGAUUAAUGACUGCCUAGGUAUCCAAUUUGAAUCAACCUUAUGAGCAAGUCUCCCAUGCCUAAGUAUCCAACCUUAAUAUGAGUGACAAACCAACAAUGCUUCCAAGGUUGCAUUUUGUUUUUCUCAGCAAAAAACGUUCUCAUAUUAAAAAGAUAAUACAAAUUCAGUUGACAGCAUAAACUGCACACAGCAAAAAUUUACAUCACAAUAUGAAUAACACUACCCAGUUGAACAGACGAUAGACAACUGCACUCCUGCGGUACUAGGGAGGUGAGGAACUCAUGCCCACAAUGAAAUUUGAUGCUACAGAUGACAUAAAGUUUCAUUGCUUGACGUAAACUAUACAAAUAUUACAACUUUGAUGAGCACACAGCCUCUUCACAUUUUAGUGAAAUACUACUGACGUGGUCAACAAACACUCUUUGAUGAUAGGGAUGCAUAAACUUGAGCAAUGUUAAACUAACUACAAAAUUUGAGUGAGGUAUUAGAGAAAGUUUUCUACAAACAUAAUUUCAAAAGUUUUAGCAUUGUUAAUGGUAUCGACACACAACACAAUAUCUGCAAGCCAAUAAAAAAAUGUACCAACUUAUCCAACAUAUUUAUUCAUCAAAAUUUCACUAGAUACAUUCAAUAAGAUAAUUCCUCAUCUUUUAGAAAUCAACACACACUUAGGAGUUCAUAUCAGACCCAUGCUUGGAUCCAAUUUUAGAUGAUUGAUGAUUUAGGAAUGCACAUCAAUAUUCUACAGUUCGGCUGUAGGUAUGAAAUCUGUUUAAUUAUUGUUUAAGGGGACUGUCAGAGCCUUAUACAGGCAAGAUAAAACAUCUAAUCAAGACAACAAAUUCAUAGUUUACCUUUUAUAGUGAAACAAAUACAACUUUUUAAUGAAUUUUUUUCUAUCAAAUCAAACAAAAACAAAUACCCAAUAUCACAAACAGAAUCAUUUGCACAAAGCGAAUAAAAAAACAUUCAAAAUUAAAUCUUGGAUAAAAAAAAUCUCACCUUGAUGAUGAUGAUGAUGAUCGAAAGGGGUUGUGGACUUGUGGUGGGGGUUCAGGACUUCAGGGUUUCGACUUUCAAGCAAAAAAGAAACACCAUCAGCAUCUGCCCGUUGCCCGUAUGGAUGUGGUCAGCUAUCCAUAAAAUAAAAUAAGAAAAAGGAAACAUUUUUCUUAAUUAGAAAUUAAAAUAAUAUAUAUAGAAAUAAAAAGGCAGAAAUUUUUAAAAAAUAAUCUUAUUAAUAGCAAACACUGGUGUGUAUGAUUGUGAUUUGUGAGUGAUGAAGAAGUCAUUUUAUUCCCGAAAUUUUGCAAAAAAGGGAAAAAAUCAUUUCUCCCGCCUUUCUUAGAUAUCUAUAUAGAGAGAGAGAUAUCUUCAAUACUCUUACAUUUUUUUUUUGUUCUGAUUUUAAUCAAUUUGUUUUCAAGUCAUGGAACUUCUUGUUGUGGAUCUAAACCAAUAUUUAGAAUUCAUUUCUAAUAAAUCAAGUAGUAUGAAUGGAGGAGAUUCAGAUUCAGAUUCAGAGAUUAAAAAUUUGUGCUUUGAAGUGAGUAAAACAUUGAGAGAAACAGGAGCACUACUUGUUAAAGAUCCAAGAUGUUCUGUACAAGACAAUGAUCGGUUUCUUGAUAUGAUGGAAAAUUAUUUUGAAAAACCUGAUGAAUUCAAAUGCCUUCAACAACGUUCUCAUUUGCACUAUCAGGUGGUACUUUUGCUCAACCCUCAAACCCCCUUUGUUGCUAAUUUUUUUUUUUUUUUCAAUAAAUAAACAAUUGGGUUUUGCAUUUUAAUGGUUUUUGUUCAUACCCAUUGCUUGAUUUGGUGUUUUAAGUGUUUGAUCUUUGUCUAUUUUACUGUAGGUUUAUAGUUAGGGUUUUGGUUGUUUGUAGAAUACUUCUUUUUGAUGAAUGGACUCAAUCAUGUUGUUGAAUUUCCGCAAACAAAAAAAAAUUUAUAUUUGUGGAACUGUUGGUUUAGUGUUCAAAUGAAGAGAAUUGAUAUGGGGAUUCCUUACUUCUCUCAGAAACACAGCCCCAAUGUUAGUGAACAUUUUCUUCGGCAUUGUAAUGACUGUGAUAUUGAUUACUGAAGACUGAUGGGUAUGGUGUCCAAUUGUCAUUUUCGAUCAAGUAGAUAAGACCUGUAGCCUCAUUGCCAAUGAUAUUCUAUGGUUUGAACUCUGAAGGUGGUGUUUAUAGAAACUAGUUUCUCCGAGCUACAACAUUAAGUUGAAGAGUAUAUGAUACAAGCCCUUUGACUCAAAGACACAUGGCCUGCAAUUGCAGGCAUGUUGCAUGCUUAGACCUAGGGUUGGAACUUUGUAGAAGAAUAACUAAAUCAUCAAUUAAGUAUUUUUGGAUGUAAACAAUACUUUGAUUUACAAUUUUAGUUCAAUUUUGAAGAUGCUCGCUCUCUUUGUUUGAUAAAACAUAAAACUGGAAGUUUUAGAGAGGAAGAAGACUUUCCUUGCUUUGCUUUCAAUUCUAAGGUCAGAUCAUGUCAUAAUAAACAUUAGCAAUAUAAAAAUCCCCCUUGACAAAAUUUGGAGCUUCAUUAUUAGAAUUCAUUGGAAAUUUUAUUAAAAAAAAAAAAAUUAUUUCAAGUGUCAAUUUUAGCAAUUUCAUUUACGAAAAACAACAACAUAGCCAGACCGAGCAACUACGGACACUAACCCAAAAUACUUGAUGGCAAUACUUAAUUAAAGCCAAAGGACACUACCCAAAAAUAUCAUUUGUAUAGUAAAGGAGUAGACUUAAACGACCUUUUUUUUGUAACAACAGGUAGGUGCGACCCCAGAAGGGGUUGAGGUUCCCCGCAGUCUAGUGGAUGAGGAAAUGCGACAAAAAUUAAGAGCACUGCCUGAGGAGUCUCAACCAUCUCUCCCUGUUGGACCUGACCCUAAAUGGCGUUACAUGUGGAGAAUAGGUCCACGACCUUCAAACACCCGCUUCCAGGUAUCAUCUUAUUUCCUGAUUUGUUUGCCAAGGAUUCAUGUUAUGAAUUUUUAAUAAUAAAGCAAUUUAUUCAUAUAGGAAUUGAAUUCGGAACCUGUUGUACCAGAAGGUUUCCCUGAAUGGAAAGAAACAAUGGACUCAUGGGGAUACAAAAUGGUUUCUGCCAUUGAGGUAAAGUAAUCUGAAUAACCUGACAAGAGGGUACCCACCCUUUUUGUGUCCAUUAUUACGGAUAUAUUGACUAUUGAGUGAACCUAGCUCGUACAUGAUGUACUAUUUCCUUUAGAUCUCAUGUUCUGUGUCCAUUGCCUAUUUGCUUAUAUAGGGUAUAUCACUCAGUCUUCUUGUGCUUCACUUGUUUAGGCUGUUGCUGAAAUGGCAGCAAUUGGGUUUGGCCUAGAGAGGGAUGCUUUUACUUCCCUCAUGCAGAAGGUAGCUGAUUUUUCUAUUUUUCUUUGUAUUUUUAUAGGGUCCAUGUGUGACUGUUUUUUUAAAUUUGAAGUAGUUCGACAUUCCAUGUCAAUUGUAAAAUGUUGCCACAAUUUGUAUCUGCUGAACAUACAGUACUCUCAAAGUCUCAAAACUCAUAUGGAUAUAUAAAGAAUCCUCAAUUUUGUAGUGUCAUUCACCUCUCUUUCAUUGACAUGCUUUAAGCAGAUGCUUCAUGUGAUCAUGUCCACUUUCUUAGAAGAAAGUAUCAUCUAAUAUUUGAAAGUAAACUAUGAAUUUUGUUCAUGAAAUCCGUCAUCUCAAAUUUCAGGGACCUCAUCUGCUUGCUCCAACUGGAAGCAACCUCCAAAGAUAUGGCCAGCUAGGCACUGUGUUUGCUGGUUACCACUAUGAUUUGAACUUUCUAACAAUCCACGGGAGGAGCAGAUUCCCUGGUCUAAACAUCUGGUUGAGAAAUGGGCAGAAAGUAGAAGUGAAGGUUCCUGUUGGUUGCCUCCUCAUACAGACAGGAAAGCAGGUAGCAGCAUCUGAUCAUACUAUUAGUUUCUAGUUUUGAACAUAAGCUUUAACUAAGCAAACGAAAAACAAUAUGCGGACACACACACACACACGAACGAAUCUGAGUAGCAAACGAAUUGAUAAUGGGGUAUGUGUGUGUGGGGGGGGUCAGAUCAGCUACCGGAUUCAAAAUCUCUUGACUAUAGUAUUGGUUUUUAGAUACAUGAGGACAUUGUUUUGUUACACAGCCUUAUCUACGUUGUGUUGAUGUUCGUAGCAAAUUUGGUGUCUUUGAUAUGCAUUUUUUGCAGGGCUUACUGAAAAGGUCUUGGAAUAGGAUUCUAUUAGUUAAUGUUAUGAUUUGAUUAUCAGUUUAUCACCUUACUAAUGCCAUGAUAUAUACAAUAAUAAUCGCACUUCAUUAUUGGUUUGACCAGUCAAUUUCCUAGCCCAAACAAACUGAAAAAUUCUCAUUGGGCCUUAUUUGCAGCUAGAGUGGCUGACAGCAGGGGAGUGCUUAGCUGGAAUGCAUGAGGUUGUGGUGACUAAUAGGACAAUUGAUGCAAUAGAAUCGGCAAAACAGCAAAGUCGCAGUUUGUGGAGAGUUUCAUCAACUGUGAGUAAAGAAAUUGUUUAAUUGUUAAGAAGUUACGUUCAGAGUGCUUAAACUAAUUCCCUUCAACGCAACUCUGACUAAGUUUCUUUGUGAUGCACUCAGCUGUUCGCACAUAUUGCUUCUGAUUCUAUAUUAAAGCCCCUAGGCCACUUUGCGGAGUCCCCACUAGCUGCCAACUACCCACCAAUGUGUGCAGGAGAAUUCGUUGAGCAAGAGCUUGCGGUUAUCAAUUUGAAAGGGAACAAGGACUAGCAGUUGUUCAAAAUGUGUGGAAUUCGUUAUGUUAGUCAAUUCUUGGGUGAAGUAAACUCCACAUGCAGGCGUGUCGAGGAAAACAUUUCAAUCAAAUGUCCUUGUACUGAACAACUAUAAAAAUAAUUUAUUAAUAUUAUCUUGAUCUAUGAUUUUGUAAUUCUUGAUUAUUGUUGGCUUUAGCUCCCUUGUACAAGUACACGACACAAUUACCAUAUACUGAUAAUUUGAUAUACUGCAAGUCUACAGCAACUCAACAAGGCCAUGUUGUUCAUAGUUUUAUAUUGUACUCAUUAUAACAAGACCAGUUCAUGGAUACUAGGACAUUACCAGUUUGGUUCAGCUUGGUCAACAGAAAUUCCUGCGAAGUCCAGAAAAUAAAUCAAGAAAUGAACAAAAACCAUGAACAGGUUUUAGUUAGAUGCAACCUAUAAUGCAUUUUAGAUUUUAGUUGCUGUGAAAUUGUACGAUAAAUUAACUAUUUUGGUCCCCUAACUUUGCCCAAAUUUUCAAUUGAGUCCCCAAAGUUUUAAUUGGUCAAUUUGGUCCCAAAUCUUUCUAAACGUUUGCAAAAUGGUCUCACCGUUACCAAGCAUUUAACAAUUCUCUUUUUUACAAAAUGGGUUCUAUUUUUACACAGUUUGGGUUUGUGUCUAUUUAACAAUAUGACGACGUGCUCAGUUACCACUAUCUGCCCACGGAUCCAUUUAAAAAAAAAAAAUUAAAAUUUGAAUUUAACAGACCACGUGUGAUAGUAAACUACCACCAGGCAACUUUGUUAAAUGCUUGCUAACGAUAAGACCAUUUUGCAAACGUUUUGAAAGAUUUAAGACCAAAUUGAGCGGUUUAAACUUUGAGGACUCAACUAAAAAUUUGAGCAAAGUUAGGGGACCAAAAUAGCUAAUUCUUCGAAAUUGUACUAAUUCACACCACAAGCUUCAUCUGCAUAACCAACAAAAAUGCAACUACAGUAUUUGCUUUUUUAUACCAAUCGAAUUAAUCACAAAACAUGACAGAUUAAUUAGAUAAUAUCACAGACUUUGAGUUCAAAUGCGGUUAUAGUGGCAGGAUGUAUGCGUUUCAUGGUUAGCUACUCUUAACAUGCCAGACCACAAGAAAGUUUAACCAUGAAAACUGUAUGCAUAAGGUUAAUAUGGAGGUAGGUUGGAAGUGCAUAAUAGAUGGGUUGUGUCUAUAUAUGCAACCGUAAUGGCCACUGCACUGUCAUAGAGCUUUAUAGAGAUAGACCAGAUAAGAUUUCAAAGAUGAAGGCUGUUGGUACAACUAAGUUGGUGGCAGUGUUGGUAACUUUGGCGAUUAUGGCAAGCAUGGUGAAACCAGGGACAGCCCAAGGCUGUGGCUCCACUUUCUUCUCCUCCCUGGUUCAGCUGAUACCAUGUAGGCCAGCAGUUACCCCGUUCAGUCCCAUCCCUCCAAGUGAAUCCUGCUGCAAUGCCGUCAGAACACUAGGGCAGGCAUGCUUAUGUGUGCUCGUGAAUGGCCCACCGAUUUCUGGUGUGGAUCGCAACAUGGCCAUGCAACUUCCAUCAAAAUGCACUACCAAUUUCGCACCAUGUAACAUUUCUUUCUUAAAUUUCAGCUUUUCUAUUUAUACAUUAUGCAGACCAAGAAUUUUUAGAUCAGAGCUAAUGAACGUAUCUUCUGUAGUUUUUCUUCUCCAUCAAACGUUAGCAAGUUUAGUACUGAUUUUUGUGCCUAUCUAAUGCAGGUGAUAUCAGGAAGUAGUCAAAGCAAAGGUGCUGGUUAGGUCUUAUGAAUAAACUGCGUAGUAUUGUAGGCAAGGUUAUGUAAUAAGAGAAUAAAUCAGAUAUCAUCGACUUGUUUGUGUCGAACUCUGAUAUUUGUUUUCUUCUCUUCUGUUCUUUCAUGAAAUUAGAUUGUAAAAGAUCCCUAUGAAAUUGAUAGACUUAAGUAUCCUACUUCCAUAUCCACCUUCUUAAGCUAAACAAAAAACUUCAGCAAGCAUAUAUAUAGUGAAUACAAAUCAUUCAGUAAUGCAAGGUUCUGAAAACCAUCGCAGUGCUAAUGUGCACUUCAAAUGAAAUUAAAUCCUAGACUCGUGGCACAAGUUAAAAAAAAAAGAUGAGUACAGACGAGGCAGGAAAUAUAGACUUCUCAUUAGUAUUUAAAAUAUGGUGCUCAAAUACAAGUACUUCCCUCAGCAAGACGCUAAAGAAGGCAGAUACAUCAUAAAAUCUCUGAUUACACUAUGAUACAAGUGUAAUUCACAUGAUCAUAGGAUGCCAACUUACAGCAACAGCCAAGUAUAGUUCAAGUCCACCACAUUCCCUAGACUAAAGAAGAAUAAGUAAAGAAUGCCUACUAGUCUACACACAGACCCUUGACAAAACAUUAGAAAACAAAGAUAAUGUACUCUUUCAAUCAACAGAUGGCCAUCACAACUCUGACUUUCUGCUCUCUUUAAAGCAGGUGUGCUCUUCAGCCUUCAAAUUCAACAUGUAACCCCCUUGUAAGGCUCUUGAGAAGUUUUUACAUCUUACAAUCAGAAUGAUGCUAAUGUAAUUUACAUGACCAUAGCAUCUCAACUUACCACAAAACCCCUUCAGUUUAUCAUUUUGAGUCUGCAUCCCUAGACUAAUAAGAAGUACAACUACUAGUCUAUAGACCAUCGCAAAAUUUAGAAAACGAAGGAAAUCUUACUGUAUCAGUCAACGCAUGGACAUCACUACUCUGACUUUCUUCGCUCUCUCUGCCCUUUUUGCAGCAGGUGUGCUCUGCAUUCUCUUGAUUUCUUCUUUCAUAAUCUUCUCAACAUGUUCAAUUGAGUCCAAGAGCUUCUGUUGUGGGGUCCUAAAAUCCGAAUCUCCUUCAUCAGAUAAUAUUUUAGCUACGGGCUUUGGAGUGACCAGGGAAAAGCUGUGCUCAAGUGGAGCACGAGGAGUGCUCACUAGCUGCAAGGGGGUAGCGUUUUGCUGACGGUUAGCCUCUCUCAGGCGGCUUCUUCUCCUUUCAAUUGCCUAAGUACAUGAACAAAACUACUGAUUAGAAAUUUAAGACAAAUGAAGAUACCUUGCAUGGUACAGAUAUUCAGACACUGAAACUUUAUAAGUCACAUAUUCAGCACAUAUUUAGGAGGGGAAAGGUAUUCUGAGUUACGACUAUUACGCAUGUUUGUGGAUAUAUGAUAAUCAAAUAUCAAACACUCGAGUCACAUUGUAAGUGCCACAUCAUAUAUAGUAGCAAUGUCUAAAACUUAAACAUGUUAUAAUGCCAAUUAAAUUGUGGUGACAUGUAUUUGGAUAGAAUUUAUUAAAAUUGGAUUAAUAAAAAUCCCUAUCACCAAACCAAAUUUCUUCACAUAAGGCCAAUGCUAACAACCCCUAAUUCCAAAACUAGCCAUACACCAUCAAGCAAACCAUCCCCAUUCUAUGUACGGAUCAUAGUAUCCUAUGCUAAGGCAACCCUCAAUGUCUCAAUUUUGAGAUUUCGCAAGUAGUCUUCUUCCCAUAAUCCCAUUUAAAUUUGUGGUAGAUUACUAAUCAAAGCAAUUCUUAAAUGAAAUUAAAUUUAUUCUCAAACUAAUAUUACAAAUCAUACUAAUCAGAUUGAUAUCUGUCGAAAUCAACAUCUCACUGAAAAUCUCAUUAACCAUGAAACUGACUGAAGCACAAAACUUAUAGACCUCAUUAAAGAGUGUGGUGACAAUAAACAUUCCUAAUUUCACAGAAGCAUUAACCAAUAAAACCCUCAAAAUUGUUCAACAAAUUAAGCAAAUCUGAUGACCAGUAUUUAAUAAAUUGAAAAUUUAAUUAAUAUUAAUAAAACCCUCAUUUCUUAAUUAAAUAAAAAAGCAUGAUUAAAUACUUACAUCAACAACAGCAGUAAUGUCACCAAGAGGUCUUCUUGGAUACCAAGAAGGCAACACAGAAGAAUUUCUUCCUCUUCUUUCAACUCUACUUCUACUUCUUCUUCUUGUUGAAUCUCGAUUCACACUCAUAACCCAUGGACUAGCAGCAUAUUGUAUUCUACCUGAUGGUAUUACUGACCUAAAACCCCUUUCUUCUUGGUUAUUCUCAACACCCAACAUAGAUCUUCGAGGGAAAAUCAUUGUUAAUGGUUCUUCUCUUAGUAAUCUAUCUCUUGAUUCUGCCAUUCUUUCAAAUCAACUUAUUUCCUGAAACAAAAACAAAACAAAAUCUUUAGAAAAAACAAAUUUUGAAAAGUACCCAUUGUUAGAUUUAGAGUGAAGAAUAUGAAACUUACCUUAGAUUUGAGAAUGAGGUUUUCUCUAUCUGAACUUCUUCUUCUUCUUCGAGUGAAGAAGAAAGCUUUGAGACUUGGGUAUUUUAAUAUAGAAGAAAUUGUGAAAAUUUCAAAAACAUUUUAACGGGCGGUUCUUUGAAAAUGAAAAUGAAAUGAAAAUGAGAAGUCAACCAAACCAUAUAUGGUUAGUUUUACUGUUUUUUAAACCCUAGUUAAGAAAUCUUAACUCUUGUUUCAAUGUUUUCAAGCGGGAUAAUUUCAUUUUCAAAUUUCGAAAUUUUUGGAUUUGGACCGAGAUUUUGUGGAUCAUAUGGUGGGCCCUGACCUGGUGACUAUGGUAUUGUUGUACAGUACUUUAAUGGUUUCGGAUCUCUGAUACUGUACUCAUAGCUUGUAGUAUUUUCUGAUUAUACUGUACGUUGUAUAGCCGUGUAAUGUUCGAUCAUCAUGUAGCCAUCUUGCCGGUGUAUGUGUUAUGUGUGGGAUGGCUGCCUACAGCUUGAGGUUUAAUGAAAUCUCAGUUGGAACUUGGAAGUGGUGUAGCUGAUAUGGACUUCAUAUCCCAAACUUCUGCACGCUGGAAUUACCCUGGUGAUGGGGAAGUGUGUUGGGUUUGAGAUUACAACUUCUGAGCAUUGGGUUCAACUUAUGGAAAAGGGGGCUUCACCGUUCACUUACAGUAAUUAGGAAUGCUGUCAACUAAUCUACCCCUUGGAUGGCACAAAAGAAGGCUUUACACUUGCAUUUCACAGACCUAAUAAACAUGUACACUUGCAUGACACAUAUGCAAAUUAAGUGAAAUUAUUCGAUAAGAAUUUCAUAACAGUGGUAUAUUGCAGUUUCAAGGGGUGUGACAGAGAUUCCAAUUGUAGUAAACAAGGUCCAUGUGCACAGGAACAUGGAUUUAGAAUUUAGAUUAUAGUUUAAUUUAUGUUUCUUAGCACUGUUCUGCUGCCUACACCCCUCUACUCUGUUGAGUAACUAUGUUCAACAAUAAGCUGACUACGAGACAUAUUCUAUACUUUUUUGUAUAUUACUGUGGAGGAAUGAUAUCGGUGAUUAAUCUGACCACAAUGAGAUAAGCUAGCUGUUGCCUUCACUCCACCAAAAGCUGACAGAAAAGCUUGUUGUAAGAGAUCUAACAUAAUGCCACCAUUUCGGUGGGAUGUAAAGCAUCUGGCCUUCAUCUAGAAUGCAGUCCAUAAAAUCCAGGUUUGUAGCUUUUGGAAACUCUUUCGCAUCUAGAUUGUCAAGAUCCACCUGUAUACAAAGACAGCAGAAAAUCUUAAAAGGAGGGUGAUUCGACUAUUCACUUCCAAAUAAACUAAAAUUUGUCCAAAGUCUAAGGUAUGUUCUACGUCAUUAACAUGAGUCCGGCAACAUUCUAUGCACUGACACGAUCAGAUAGUAAGUCUAUGUCAAUAUGUUGCAGAGAAGUCGGGCUGUGAGACGCUGGGCUUCCCAGUGCCUUGGGGGGCUCCUUUGACAACUAACUACAGCUAUUGAUGCCCUGGGUACCUUGAUGGGUUUUGAUGAAUUGACAACUUAACAGUAAUAGGCUAUGUUUAAAGUGUUUAUGCUUCCAAGGAACUACAAAAUCCAUCCAUGUUAUCACAAUCUAUUUGAUGAACCAACUUCUAACCUGAGAAGCCUUCUAUGAAGAACCCACCUGACUGGAAUUGCACAGCAUGGUUUCGGUGAAAGGGUAAAGAUCUUCAGAUAUCGAUGCAGGAUACAGCCUUAUGUACUUUCUGCCAACAACCUAAAAGCACACAAAAAUAGAAUUUUUCCAAGUUAAAAUGGCUAUCAAAAUGUAGCCUUAUCACAACAACUCGUUCGCUUCCCUCCACCAAUUAUAUGCGGAACAUAUUUUUUACCACAAUAUCCAGAAAUAAAUCAAGCUAAUAAUUUGGGUGCAGAACAAGACAGUGCAAGUCAAUCCUAGAUGAGAUAGCUAAGCAGGUGUGACUGGCAGCAACCAUAUCUUACAAAACAUCAAUUUAACAGAACUUCAGCAGUAUAUAAACUUCAUCCGAAAAAUUGUGUCCCCGCCAUUAAUAAUUCUAUAUGCUAAUGAGAUUCUCGCAUUCAUUAUUGGAGGCCAUAGUUUCAAACCACCUCAUUCUGCACUCAUGGAUGAAGGUACUGCUUAAUGGAAAGGGCUUAGCAUGCCUUGUCAGUCAACUGGUAUUCGCAGCCCAAUCAAAAAUUAAGACAUUAAUCUACAUAGCUAUGUUUUCAAUGACAAUCGUGGGACUGGCAUCAUGGAGGGUCCACCAGCCCACAAGACACACUUGAACGGAAACCUUGUUGACUCAUCUAAUGAAAUGCCAAAAGGUAAAGCCUAAAUGAUGGUUCUUCCAAGACUCUUAUCAUGUUAGUAUCAUAGUAACUCAAUUACCUGGGCAAGUAUAUUAUGGUGUGGAUCAUGGUGCAAUGGUGUCACGGUCCCAGCUGGACCAAACCAAGCAUUGAGAGAGCGAAGCUCCCCUCCACCAACGAAACAGUAGUCAGGAACCAGUAUAUCCUUGCGUAAUUCUUGUAUCUGCCAAGAAAUUGUAGCAUCCAUAACUCCAAUAUACCAUCAUAAAAAGAAGGCGAGUACUACAAGUCAACAACGUACCUGCUCAAACAAAGGAUGCUGAGCAAGAUAGGUUGGACCAGGUGGACAACAUUCAUUGGACUGAACCCUCUCGAGAAACUGAGAAAACGUGAUCAUCUCUUGCUUCCAAUCUUGGCACAAGUAAUUCUUUCCAACCUGUAGUAAAUGGUAAUUGCUAGAAGGAUUCAGUGAUGGGAAACUUCAAACAUUAAUGAAUCUUAAGACCACAAAUGCAUUAGAAUAGAUAGUUUGUCCAGAAUGAUAUGGAUGAAACAAUGUCAGGAACAUUAGAAUAUAAGAUAUUGACUCCUGUAACUCUAUGAAUAAAUCGCAAGGGCAUACCUCAGAAUCAAAAUAUGUACACAACUACACAUACACACAACACGUAACCAACUCGUCAGACCUUACAGUAAGCAUAUUACAAGAAGUCGGAGAAAGUAAUCACCUCAACUGGAACUGUGCGAUCACCUGCAACCGUUUUCAAAUAAUCUAUAUCCUUCCACUUCUUACUGGCAGGCCAAUGAGAUAUACUAUCGCUAAUUAUAACUGGAGUGCUCGAUAGGAAGUAAUCGCAUAGGAAACUCUCUAAAGAUAGUGAGGACUUCGUUUCUACUAUCUUACACGACAAUGACUUAUUAGGCAGUACUUCAAGCAUCUACAUACAAAAGAAAUAAAAAACACAUUGAUUCAAUAACAUUAACAUAUGUACAUUCAAUAUAUUAAAGUUCAAAUAGAAACAAAGAACAGAGAGAAUCACAAACCUCACCUCGGCUACAUUCGAAGAAGAAGAAAAACCGUUAAAAUUACCAGUUUCCAUCAUCUUCCGCUCCUCGAGAUACUCAUCAUUGGAUCCAUUAGAAAUAAUCCUCGAUUUCGUCAACGAAAUCAAAUUAAUAGCAGAAUCUAAGUCUUGGCGAAGAAGAUUACCACCCAUAAUUAAUCCCAUAUCAAGAACCUUAAGAGCUUCUUUGAAAUCUCCAUUCCUGUAUUGAAAAGAUGCCACGUGGAGACAAGACAUAGCAUAAGCAUCUCUCCAAAUUGGUAAAACAGAAUGCCAAGGACCAGAGUGAAGUUGCUCCCAAGCCAUUUCAAGACCUGCUUCGGCGGCUCUUAUGUCGUCAGCUUCAGUGGUUCUUGUAUUCAUGCUGACAUAAGCAUAACCACCUUCGUUUGUAAUUUUCUCGAGGAGAUUUGAUCUAACGGUAUCUAAAAUCGGUGUUGGAAGGUGGUUUGAGUUGGAUUUCGCCGCCAUUUGCGGUGGCGAUUUGGUGUAAAGGGAUGACAAACGAGUUGCUACGUCUGCCAAAAAGUGAGACUCUUUCUCUCUCUCUCUCUCUCUCUCUCUCUGUGGCAGAUAAAAAGUGCAUUUGACCUUUUGUGCUUUAUGCCACGUCAUAAAAUACCCAGCAAAUAUCAUUCAUUCACUUGCCACGUAUCGUACGAUCAUUGGACAAUUCGAAAGUUGGGCUAAAAGGCCUUAUUAGAAAGUCCAACGGGCUUAUGAGAUGGUAGUCGCUGAAGAGCCUUAUGAUUUAGGGGAAAAAAAUUAUUUGCGUUUGCCGGGAGUCGAACCCGGGUCUAUUGCUUGGAAGGCAAUUAUCCUAACCGUUGGACUACAAACGCUAACUAAUGGUAUUUUCUAAUCUAUACUAAUUUAUAGAUACUUAUAUAGCUGUGUUUGGUUCACGGAAUCUAAAUUCCAGGAAAGUUGAGGGUAGAACAGACAAUAGUAGGAGAGAGAGUCGGAAGAGUGAUCGAAAAAGAGAGAAAAAGAGUCCAACUUAGAAGGGAUUCUGAUCGGAGAUCCUUACUUACCAUAUUUGUCCCGAUCACCUUUAGAAACUGGUUACCAUUUUUAAAAAAUGGAAACCAAAUUCUAUAACUUCCUUAUAUGCCAGAAUCUGCUUUCCGAUCUUCUCUCCUAACGUUUAGGGAUUUUAGUCAUGUUUUCCAGGAAUCUGAAUUCCUUCAAACCAAACACAGAUGUAGAUGGUAAUGAACAAAAUAAAACAUUUUGUGAGAAUAUAGACUAUAUAUACAUUUUUUUUUUUGAGAUUUUUGGACAUACCCCAUUUGAAAGUCAAAAUUUGAGAUACCUACAACCUUAGAUUAGUUUUAUGAUAGACAGCUAAAAUAAUACCACAUAAUUAUAUCUCAAAUUUCGACUUUCAAAUGGGGUAUGUGACUAUGUGAGUAUGUCCAAAAAUCUCUUUUUUUUUUUUUUUUUUUUUUUGUUAAAUGGCCAUUUUAGUAUUUACAUGGUUGUACUUGUUUAGACUUUAGAUGAACAGAGGUAAUCGUGGCAUUAUCGAAGUAUUGGUUUUAUCCAUUCUAUAAUUCAUGUAAAUAUUAAAAACGAAACCCUUCAAAUUUGGAUUCGGUAGUGUCGGUUUUCGGGUGUGUUCCAAUAAUCCGAAAUUCCGAAACCGAUUUCCUACCCCUUCUACUCGUACAAAUCCAGGCCAGUCCAUGAUAGUUUUAUGGGCCUCAAAACAUUAUAUGUAUCUCAGUUAUGAGAAGAACAAAGUUACAGGACCAAUGUGCUUGAGAGUUGAGACACGUAUAAGUUCCAUAUUUGGGUAUGAACGUAAUCGUUUGUUGUUAACUGAGAAGAUCACCGGCCGGAAGAGGAAAGAAAGCAUAAUAAUCUACUUUUCUUCAGACUUUCAGCUACAGAUAUGUCGGUUGUACAACUCAAUUUCUUGUUCUUGUUCUUGUUCUUCUUCUUGUGGUGCUUUGGUUCAGUGAAGAAGAAAGAGAAAGAGAUAUCAAGAAGAUAAAUUGAAGGAAUUGGAAGUUGAAAUUUCGAGCUCAAAAUGAAGGGUUUUUUUUUUUGGCUGAUUGGUGAGUUGUUAUCAUUUUUAUUCUUGUUUUCUGUUCAUGAUUCAUUUCAUUUUGCAAAGACCUUUCGUCCUCUUGGUUCAUCUAUUUUUCUGUAAGAAAAAACUACAGUAACUUCUUGGCUUUUGAACAGUAACCGGCGCCAUAGAUAAAAAUUACAAUUUGUGAUAUUAUUAAUUAUCAUCAUGGAUGAUAGAGUUUGUGCUAUUAAAACUGUUUGUAUAGUAAUUAGCCUAGUUCUAUCUUUCGCUGUAUGGGUGUUCUACAAACAAUAUGAGAGUACAAAGACCAGCUUCGACAUUCCUUUUGGGACGUAUCCUUGUGUUGAAGCUCCCGCUCCCAUUCUGAAAGGUCAUUAGCUGUGGCAGCUCAGAGUUCCAGGUCUCUCUAGAUGUUGUUGAAUUCUUUCUUGUUUGAUUACUUAUGUUGUUGUUGUUGAUGAUGAUGUAAACUGUCAAUCUGUUGUGGUUUCUUAUUAGAGAUUAAUUUUGUUUAAUUUUGUUCAUUUCCAUAUAUUGUAUAGCUACUGGGUAGCAACUAGCAAGCAAUGGUUUGUUGAUUGAAUGAAAGACUUCAGUUUUAGUGCAUCCAGAAUGACCUAAAUACUCACUUUGAC
rnacentral:lncRNA from 1 species